rnacentral:lncRNA from 1 species
UUCUCCUUGUGUUUGCUUGUGUUUUGUGACUUUCUCAUUAAUGAAUUUCUUUUCUCUCAAAAAAAUUAGUAAUUUUAGACCGGCAUAAAAGUAUAAGGGUAAACUACACUCAAAGUCACCCUAAAAUAGAGUUUAUCCACUCUAAUUUUUUUCAAUUUAAUCAUUUUAAUUAAAAUAAUUACUCGAACUAGUCAUUAUGUUAAAAUUUUCAUUAAUCUACUAACGGAUUAUUGAUGUGGCAUAUUAAUCAAUUAAAUGAUGACACAUAGCAUUUUUUUUUUUUACUUUUGACAAAAACUUAAGAACUUCUCUAUAAUUAAUCCAACACACUUUUUUUCCCUUUCUCUUCUCUCUCUAACUCAAAAGGGAGAAACCAGAACAGGCAUCUAAAAGCUACAUGCCUUUCACCAUUUUCUCAACAAUGGAUCUAUGGCAACUAUCAACGAUAACCAACCAUACAUCCACAAAUAACUAAAGAGGAAUGAACAUAUAUAUAUAAUUAAGAAUGGAUGUAUGGCAUGGAUAAGGCAAGCUUCAACCUUUAUAUAUAAUUCGUUAUAUGCAGGCAAUUCGAAUUUUGGGGAGCUAAGCCAAAAUUCUAAACGUCUAAUAGAUUUGAAUAAUAACCUCAUGUUUAGAUAUUUUACUAUAUUUAAAGAGUUUGGCUGCACACCUACAAGAUUUUACACGAUUUAUUUCUUUAUUUAUAGGAUAAACUAUACCACAGGCUAUAUGUAUCUUGUCCUUUUUCUCUUUACAUCAUUUAAUAAUAAUUUUUUUAAUUUGGUCAUCUAAUUAAUCAAGAUUUUUUUAGUCCAUUUCCCUUAAGUGUUGUUAAAUCUCUAACGAGAGGAUAACUUAGCAAUUAAAAAAUCGAUAAUAACAAAUUUAGCCCUUAAUUUUUACAUAUUAUAUCGAUUUAGUCAUAAAUUUUAAUAAAUUAACUUUCAAAGUUUACAAAUAGUCUCAAUUUGAUCCUCAUAUUUUUUUAAAGAUUUUUAAUUUUUAAAAUAAUUUAGUAAAAUUUUAAAUUUUAUAAAAUUAAUUAAAUGCUGACAUAUCAUCUAUAUGGCAAUCCACGAGUAUGCCACAUUAGGAAAGUUAACAAAUUAUUAAGGAGUUGCUUUGUUUUCAUUUAGAUUCUAUGUUUGCAAGUCGAAAUUAACAUAUGCUAUGGAGGCUUGUCUAGGUUAAGAAUGAGAGCAUAUUGAGAGCUCUUGUAUUAAUUCAUUGAGGAACUGUUUGGUGUGAGAGUGUAAAUUGAAUUGUAAACAUUGGGUGUUUACUUCCGAAGUUCUCAUGGAGAGGAUUUAGAGGUGAAUGUUCUAUUCUUAAUAGGAUAAAUUCUGUUGUGUUGUGGAUUAAAAAUUCUGUUUAUAUUUUAACAGGAUAAAUUAAUUAACACGAGUGACUAAAUUGAGAAAAAUAAAUUAUUUUAACAAGAGUGACUAGUUUGAAUAAUUAUUUUUACGAGAAUAACUAAAUUGAGAAAAAAAAAUUAGAGUGACCAAAAUAGGAAAAAUCAUACUUUAGUGGAACCUUGGCGUAAUUUGCCCUGAAAAUUAUCUUAGUCCGUAGACUUGGUUAAGUUGAGCUGCUUCUAAACUUUAUGUUUUGUUGAUACAGGAAUAUAAAAGAUAAAUUGAUUUAUUUUCAAUAAAAGUUGAAGUAGUCUUCGUUUUCAAAAUUUUGCAUUUCUUACUCGAAUUCCGUCUUUUCCAUUUUCCUUUCCUCCUUUUUCUCUCCUUUAGCUUUUAAGACCUAAAAAGUCUUAAAGAAUGUGGGAAUGGGGCUUUCUUCAUCGACUUUUGUUUCACUAACUUUAUAACAUUUUGUGGUUACAUAAGUUUCCAAUUUAAUGCAUUUUGUUGGAAGAAACUUCCUUGCGCUUCAUGUAUUUUUGUGUUUUAGCUAAAGCUUACGCUAUAUAUUUGGAGUUGUGAGCCAUGGCAAUUGCAACCAUGACUACUCCUCUUCCUAUUUCCUUUUUCCCUUUUCUUCUUCUCAUUCCCGCUAUCUGUUUUUCCAUUUGUCAUGCCAAUUCCAACCUACUUUGCAUUCAAAGUGAGAGAGAAGCUCUUUUGAAAUUCAAGAAUCAUCUUAUUGAUCCUUCAAAGAGGUUAUCUUCAUGGGUUGAAGGAGGGGAUUGCUGUAAAUGGAUUGGUGUCGUCUACCAUAACUCAACAGGCUACGUCAACCAACUGCACUUGGCUGCUCCUCCUCUUUCACAGCCUGAUUUUGACGCACCACUAGCUGAAUGGGAAGCUUAUGUGCGGUCAAAACUACAAGGCAAAAUAAAUCCUUCACUGCUGGAGUUAAAGCAUCUCAAUUCCCUGGACUUGAGCAGUAACAAUUUUAGCAGCAUACAUAUUCCGAAAAUUUUCGGUUUGCUGGAGAGUUUAACUUAUCUUAACCUCUCUUAUGCACAAUUUCAGGGAGCAAUUCCUCAUAACCUUGGGAAUCUCUCAAAGUUGCAGUAUCUUGAUCUUGGAGGUAAUGAUCUCAAAUCAAAAAGUCUUCAAUGGGUUUCUGGACUUUCAUCCUUGCAGUAUCUUGAUUUGAGUUAUGCUGAUCUUCAUAAAGCAAAUGGUUGGGUACAGGUAACAUUCAAACUUCCUUCUUUGUUAGAGUUGCACUUGCCAGGUUGUGAUCUAGAAGAUGUUCCAUCUUCGAUCAGUGUUAAUUCUUCAAAAUCACUGGUUGUUCUUGAUCUUUCUGGUAACUUCUUAUCUUCAGUACCUAAGUGGAUAUUUAGUCUUCAUGGUCUUGUGUCCAUUUAUCUUAGUGAGAAUUCUUUGGAAGGCCCAAUUCCAGAUUACUCUGGGAACAUCUCGUUUCUUGAAGUUCUUGAUCUCAGUGGUUGGAAUCAUCUCAAUUCGUCCAUACCCAAUUCCUUGUAUAGUUUAAACCGUCUUCAGUUCCUUAGUCUUAGUGGUAACCAGUUACAAGGAACAAUCUCGAGUUCCAUUGGAAACUUGAGCUCUGUUACUCACCUCUAUCUUUCAGAAAAUCAAUUAAAUGGUCAAAUUCCAUUGUCUAUAGGAGAGUUAUCAUCUUUGAAGUUGUUUGAUGUUUCAAAAAAUCAGUUAAACGGCCAAAUUCCCUUGUCUAUUCGGCAGUUAUCAUCUUUGGAGUUGUUUGAUGUUUCAGAAAAUCAAUUACAUGGUACUUUUCCAUUGUCUAUAGGGGAGUUAUCAUCUUUGGAGUAUCUGGGUUUUGGGUAUAAUCUAUUAGGAGGAGUUGUAUUAGAAACCCAUUUUUCAAAUCUCAUGAGAUUGAUAACUCUAGCAGCAUCACAUAAUCGGCUUAGAUUUGAACCAAACUCAAGCUGGAUUCCCUCAUUUCAAUGUGAAUGGAUCGAAUUGGGUGAUUGGUAUCUUGGCCCGAAGUUUCCCCAGUGGUUAAAGUUCCAAAAGAAAUUGUCUUAUUUGGAUAUCUCCAAUGCAGGAAUUUCAGAUGUCAUGCCCACUUGGUUUUUGAACCUUCCCACUCCAUUUGAAUAUUUAAAUCUUUCCUUUAAUCAACUUACAGGAGGGAUUUCAUAUUUGAAUAUGAGAGACACUGUUGACUUGAGUUCAAACCGCCUUACAGGUCCAUUCCUAAGAGUACUCUCAACUUUAAGAUUUUUAUUUUUGUCAAAUAAUUCAUUUUCGGGAUCUCUUUCUCAAUUACUUUGUGAUUCAUCAAGUGGAAAACGGAUGGAAGUUCUUUACAUUGAUAAAAAUCUUAUCUCAGGAGAUAUUCCAGAUUGUUGGAGUCAUCGCCAGGAUUUGAACAUUCUAAAUUUGGGAAGCAACAAUUUGACAGGAAAAAUCCCACCUUCUUUAGGGUAUAUAAAUCUUUCAAUGCUAAACCUUCGAAACAAUACAAUGUUUGGAGAAUUUCCGUCCACAUUGCAAAAUUCUACAAAUUUGAUUAUGUUUGAUCUUAGUGAAAAUCAUUUCAGUGGAAGUGUACCAGCAUGGAUUGGUGAUAAGCUCUCAAACCUUGUGAUUCUAAGCCUUCGAUCAAAUAACUUUGAUGGUCAUAUUCCUCAUAACAUUUGUGAUCUUCAAUUUCUUCAAAACUUGGACCUUGCCCACAACAACAUUUCUGGAGUUAUUCCAAAAUGUUUUAAUAAUUUAAGUGCAAUGGCCACAACAAACAAAACCGAUAAAAAAGUUUAUGGGGAUAGUUUUUACCGAUUUUCUUGGAGCGCAUUGUUGGUGUUGAAAGGACGAGAGGAUGAAUAUGGUAGCACACUAGGACUUCUUACCAGCAUGGAUCUUUCAGCUAACAGCCUCACAUGAGAGAUUCCCAAAGAAAUUGGUAGUCUCGUUGGACUAUUGUCUUUAAAUUUUUCAGGGAAUCUCCUAACAGGAAAUAUACCAGACAGCAUUGGCAACAUAGAGUUAAUGGAAUCUCUUGAUUUGUCCAUGAAUCGACUAAAUGGUGAAAUCCCUCCAAGUUUCUCCAAUUUGAAUUUCUUGAAUCACUUCAAUGUGUCCUACAACAACUUGACAGGACAAAUCCCAACAAGCACUCACCUUCAAAGCUUUGACAACUUGUCUUAUGUGGGCAAUCAUCAUUAUAGACCUCCUCUAACUAAGAACUGCGCCUCAAAAGGCAUUCCAACUGACGUUGCAAAUAAUGGAAGUAGCAGUGAAGGAAAUAAAGUGAAUUCGCUUUAUGUCAGCAUAGCUCUUGGCUUUGUAAUGGGAUUUUGGGGUGUAGUAGCUCCCUUGUUUUUCAUCAGGUCUUGGAGGAUUGCAUACUAUCGAAUGCUGGACCAUAUCUGUGGUAAACUGUAUGUGUUUUGGGCUACUAUGGGUAUGUAGUUUGAUAGGAAAAAAGCAUGUAUAAUUGAUGCAUCUGAUCUAGGUGUGCUGCUACAUGAUUGUUUGAUGCUAAAAGAUUAGUUUUUGUGUCUUUCCACUCACUUGGUGUGCUAAUAAGGCGGCCCAUUCGCUGGCAUGAACAGCUUUGUUAUAUGCAAAUCAUGUGGAAUGGGAUGUUUUUCCCUUGCAUCUUUUUUGAAGAAUGUUUAAAUUAUGAUCUUAUGUUGAUACAAAUGCAAAUUACAUCCGGUAGGUUUAGGUGUAUGGGGUGAGCCUGUUGGCUCGGGUUUAGUAGUCUGUCUCCUCUUUGUGUUCACUUUUGUUUUGUUAUUUUCUCAUUAAUGAAUUUCUUCUCUAAAAAAAUAGUAAUUUUAGACACGUACAAAAGUAUAAGAGUGAACUACACCCAAUGUCACUCUAAAAUAGGGUUUGUCCUAUUUUGGUCACUCUAGCUAAUUUUUUUUUCAAUUUAGUCACUCUAAUUAAUGUUAUUAUUCAAACUAGUCAAUAUUGUUAAAAUUUCUAUUAAUCCACUAAUAGAUUGUUGUUGUGCCACAUCAGCCAAUUGAAAGAUGACACGUGACACCAGAGGGCAAAGCCAGGGGGCUGGCGGGUGCCCCGACCCUCCUAAAAUAAAAAAUUUUUCAUUUAGACCCCUUUAUAAUUUAUAAAAUUUUAAAUUAGUAAUGAUAAAAUUACACUUUGGCCCUUCUAAAAAUAAAAAAAAUUGGGUUAAUCUUUUAAAAAUUAUAAAGAUAUAGACUAUUAAAAUUAUGAUGAAAUUGUAUUUUUACUACCAUAAGAAUAUACAAUUUAAUACUGGCCCCACAAAAAAAAUUUCUUACUUUGUCCCUUCGUGGCACUUUCUUUUGAUUUUUAACUAAAACUUAAGAACCACUCUAUAAUUAAUCCAGAAUACUUUUUUUUUUUUUGUUUCCCCUUUUCUUCUCUUUGCAACUCAAAAUGGAGAAACCAAAACAGGCAUUUCAAAGCUACAUGUCCUUCACCAUUUUCUCAACAAUGGAUGUAUGGCAACUAUCAACGAUAACCCACCAUACAUCUACAAAUAAUUAAAGAAGAACGAACAAAUAUAAAUAAGAAGGGAUCCACGGCAUGAAUAGGGCAAGGGCAAAAGCUUCAUCCUCGUCUUGAGAUAUUUUUGCGAUAUUAAAAGAGUUUGACUGCAGACGUACAAGAUUUAUUUAUUUAUUUAUAGGGAAAACUACACCAUAAGUUAUGUAUAUUGUUUCAUUUUUUUUUAUCACUCAAUUAUCAAUUUUUUUUAUUUAGUCUCAACUAAUUAAGAUUUUUUUUUGGUCUAUUUCCAUUAAAUGUCAUUAAAUCUCUUAUGGGUGGGUGAUGUAAGAAUAAAAAAAUCGAUAAUAAUAGAUUUAGCCCUCAACUUUUACAUAGUAUAUUUAUUUAGUUAAAUUUUAAAAAAAAUUCACCUUCAAAAUUUACAAAUGAUCUCAAUUUGAUCCUCAUACUUUUUUAGUAAUUUUAACGAUUUUUUAUUUUAAAGAAAAUGUAUGACAUAUAGUGUAUAUAUAAACAUGCUUUCUCAUAAUUAAUUAAUAUAAAAAUAUUUUCCAAUAAAAAUGUAACUUAUUAAACUUCCUUUUUUUAAUUGGCUUUAGUGGUAAAAAUUGAACCUUAAUCAUUACAAUUAGGUUAAAUUAAUCAUAUAUGCCGAAAUAGUUUGUUAAUUGGUUAUAUAGGUCGAUUUUUUAAAAAUUUACAGAAAUAGAUCGUUUUUGGAGAGAGUGUGACCGCGCUUUCUGCAUAGGUGGUUGGAAAGAUCAUCCAACUGGGCGAGCUUUUCUAUUGACAUGUCAGGGAAAGCAUGCCUAACUGGAUGUGUUUUUUUUUUUUUGAAUUUUCAGAAAACGCUUUCAGGUGGACGAGCUUUCACACACUCUCUCCAAAACUGUUUAUUUCCCUAAAUUAAAAAAAAACAGCUUAUUUAGUCAAUUAACAAUUUUUUUUGACAUAUAUGACUAAUUUAGCCCUACAAUUAAGGGUUUAAUUUAUGAUCACAUUAUAUAUUAUUAAAACAUGAUGUAAAAAGAAAAUUAUAAGAGAGAGAAUGAAAGGAUGAGUGGUAGAUUUAAAAAUUAAGUUCUUCGUGUGUGUGUGUAUAUAUAUAUAUAUGUAUAUGAUCAAUAUUUCAUAUAUAGAUAUGUAUAUGGUCACAAGAUAAUUAUUUAUACUAUAAUAAUAUGUCUGAUUAAGUUUAGUGUCAUAAAUCAAGUGAAACCAACUCAAUUGGUAGAAGCACAGAAAAAUUAAAGUUAUUUUUUAAAAAAUAUAGAGUUAAUUAUAUCAUUUAAAUAUUUUAUAAAACAAAUUAAAUUUAUUCAAUACUCUUAAACUAACUAUUUGAAAAAUCAUUUUUUCAAUUAAAACUAUUUGUUGAGGCAUGUUGCAUGCUUCUGUGAUGAGUGGCACUCAAUAGUGCCUAUUACAAACUACCGUUAAGACAGUAAAUAUACUUGUCAUAUUUGAGUUGAAAAUUUUAUGCAACAAAAUCUUUUGACUAGUGUACAACCCAACUUUUUCCUGAGGCCCAUAAAAGAAUAACCUAAAACCCAACCAACUAAACCCAAUAUAGCCUAAACAAACCCUAGCCCAACUAGCCCAAACCUAAAAAGAAAAAAACAACAACAACAACAAAGAUUGCAAACCCUAGGUGCGCCGCGCCUAGGGUGUCUGACCUCCCCACGUCAGCCACCAUACCGCCGCUCCACCUGCUACCACCUGCUCCUGUUCCGUCACCUGCAAAAGGAGGGACAAACACGCAAUAAACAAUAGCAAAUCAUUUGUAAAUGGCUAUAAAAAGCCAUAUGAAUCUUUGUAUUUGGGGUUUUUUUUUUGGAUACAUUAAAAAAAUCAAAAAUAGCAAAAUUGAUCAAAGAAAAAAAAACAAAGUGACACACAUGCAAAGGUUCUUUUUAUUUUUUUAUUUUUUUUCUCUUUAUUUUUUUUCGAAACUGAUUAUAUAUAUAUAAAGAUUUUUUUUAACUGUAUAUAUAUAUUAAAAUAUAGUAUAACAAAGAAAAAAAAGAAAAAAUUACCUUUUUGGGCUCCUGCCGCCGUGCACGGUGGUCGACAACGACGGACCCCAAGGCGGCGUGAGGCGGUGAUUGGCCGAAAUUUUCAAAAUGGCGUCGUUUUGAGCCUUAACCCGCGAUCCGACUCGCUCCAGGCCUAGGAUCCGUGUGAUUUUAACGGAAGGGCUAAUUCACUUUUAGCCCUUCCGCUUUUUUAUAGUUUUUCAAUUAAGUUUCUUUGAUUUCUAAUUUUGCCCUAGAAUUUUGCUUUGAUUUCAUUUUCGCCCUGUCUAAGGUGCUGCGUUUUGGAGGGCGGGGAUAUUUUCCCCUUUAGUCCCUCCUUGUUAUUCGCUCACUUGAUUUGGUCCUUUUCUCUUUUAUUUAUUUCUGAUUUUCCCCCAGAAUUUUGUUUUAAGGUUCAAUAUAGACCUUUUUUGUUAUUUUUGUUAUUUUUAUUAAUUUAAUGUUAUUAUUAUUUUCUUUUUAUGUUUACUACCUGUUAUUAUUAUUGUAUUAUUAAAUUAAUUAAUUUAGUGUUAUUACUACUAUUAUUAUAGUUCUUUCUUGUAUUUAUUUAUUCUUUUUUUAUAAUACAUUGAUUUUAUUUUGUCAUUUUAUUAUUUAUUUAUUUAUACCUUUAUAUAAUUCCAAGCUUUGAAUUCUUUAUUAUUUUGUAUCAUUAUUUUGUUUUACAUAAUACUUAUAUUAUUAUUAUUAUUAUUAUUAUUAUUAUUAUUAUUAUUAUUAUAUGUUUAUCAUUUUUUUACUUAAAUCUCAUAUUUGUUUAUACUUGAUUUUUCAUUCCUUUACUUUCAAAAUAUUUAAAUUGAGCUAUGUAUAUACACUGUAUUUAUUUACUUACUACCAUUUUUUUAUUUUGUUUUAUUUAAUUUUUUUCUUUUAUUUAUUUGCUUACUUUCAUUUUUUUAUUUAAACUUUUUAUUAUUUUUACUUGUUUUUUUACUUAUUUUUUGUUUUAUAAUUAGCUUGUUUUUGUUCAUUUAUCUUAUUUUUGCUCGUAUUAUCGUCAAUUUUAUUAAUGCAUUUAUUGUUAUUAUGUUAUGCAUAUUAACGUCGAAAUUUAUUUCACUAUCAAUUCGUGUUACAUUAAUCUUUACCCGAAGCAUUAAAUUUUUUAUUUUAAAAUAAGCAAUAUUUCACGUUUUUAUUUCGAAAAGUCAUACUCUAACUUACGGAAUUUCGAUUUUCUCGACAAAUCUAAAUAAGCGAGCUUUUUUUUCUUAUUAUUGUCGUAAUCUCGGGAAUUAAGAGAAGGUCGUAUUCUAACUCACGGAAUACGAUUUUUCUUUCUAAAACCGAGAUAGUUGAAUACCUUCUAAAAUAGAUUUUUUGGCGUUUAUUCGCGUAACGGGAAUUUAAGACAUUGUAUUCUAACUUACGGGACGUAAUUCUUUUUUUGGUUAACGUGAAAUCUGUCAUUUUCUCGAAAUUUUCAAUUAAAUAAUAUUUUAUAAAGGAUCGUGUUUUAAAAUCUCUUCAAAUUUUUUAUGUUCGGCACUAAGACAUUAAUUAAUCAACUAGGUACCCAUUUUGGGCGUUACGAGGGUGCUAAUCCUUCCUCGUACGUAACCGACUCCUGAACCCGUCUUUCUGAAUUUCAUGGACCAAAAUCUUUGUUUUAAUAAAUCGAAUUGUUUAUUAAAAACAAUCUUUUUCGAGGUGACCUGAUCCCGUCUCAUCAAAAAAGAUUGGUGGCGACUCCCAUUUUCGUUUUCAAAAUAUCAGACGAUUUCAAAAUGGUUUCGACAACUAGUUAUUGUGAUGAUAUUUUAAAGAUUAUAUAGCCUAUCUAUAUAAGACAAUCUAUGGCUAGUGAAGAUUUGGUCGGAUUCAACUAAAUCAUUUACAAAUGAAUAUCAUAUAUAUUAUAUAUCAUACAGAGAUAUUAAAAUGAUGUUAAUAAAUAAAUUGAUAUACUUUUAUUUUAAAUUUUUUUAUCACUGAAUUUAAAGGUUUUGUUAAAAUGCAUUUUUACUAUUAAUCAAAUAUUUUAUAAUGAUAAUUUAAGAUUAAAUGACUUCUUUUUCAAUUAUUUCAUUGAAAAUGUUGGACUCUCGUAUUGUUUUAGAUGGAAAAAAUUUUAAAUUAAAAAAAAAAAUCAAAAUGCAUCGUUUUAAAAUGUUAAUGAUUAUAGCUAUUUUAUAUGGGAAAAAAAUUUCAAAAUUAUUGAAUGAAAAAAAAAUUCAAAAUUUUCAAAUGAUUUUAUACAUCACGUGACAUGUUGCCAUAUAAAGAAAAAUAUUUAUAUAGGAAGGAAAAGAAAAAGGAUAGAGCAACAGGAUAUUCAAAAUUACAAAAUUUAUGCUUAACCACAAAUUUAUACCUAAAUUAAAAUAUUUUUUCCAUCUUGGUACUUCAAAUUUUUUUUGUCAUAAGUGGUACCUAGACCUUUUUUUUUUCAAAUUGGUACCUAUGUUAGUCAAACCGUUAAGCCUAUUUUUUUAAAAAAAAAGUUGACUCAUAAAUUGGUACCUAAAAUAUGCAUUUCCCCAUUUGGUACCUAAAGUUUUGUUAGGUUACAAGUAGUACCUAAACUAUUUUCUUCCCCAAAUUGGUAUCUCUUGUAGUUCAAUCAUCAAUCAAGUCGUUAAGUUUAUUUUGUUUAAUAAAAUAACCAAUAUAAAAAUUGACAUAUGGCAAAAAAGACAAAAAGUAUUAUUUUCUCUUAUAUAUAUAUAUAUAUUCUUUAAACCGCGACCAAUGGUUGAACCAAUCAAACCACCAAUUAUUGGUUUGAUCAGUUCGUCCAAUUUGAUAUUAAAAUUUUAUAAAAAUAAAAUAUUUUAAAAAUAGAGAAAACUAAUUCAAAUGAUUUCUUUAGCUUGGUCCAAUAGGUUUGUAUCAGUUUGCAGGUCAAUCAGUCAACCCCUAUAUCUAGACUAGUAUCCCAACCAAUUCUCAGUUCAAUCGAUCAAUCUAGUCCAAUUUUGAAAAUAUUGGAUUUGAUCGAUGAAAUAACUUUUUCGAUCUCAUCAAGUCAAAUAAGCAAGCGGUGAAAUUCAAAAAUAUAAUUAAUUACCAGCAUUUCAAUUUUUGGAGAGCAAAUUUUGAGCAUUACUAAUAUUGUCGUAUGUUAUAAAAGAAGAAAAAUAAUAAUAAAAAGAGAGACAAAACUGUAAAAGGAAAAAGGAAAACAAAAUAAUUAAAAAUUGUUAAGUUAUAUGACAUGGCAAAUUAUUAUUAGUUGAAAUUUUUUUGAAUGGAUAUAACAUGUUUGUGUAAACUGGAUAAAAGAAUAAUAGUUUAAGUAUCACUUGUGAGUAAAAAAUUGUUUAGGUACCAAAAUAAUAAUAAUAAAUGCAUAGUUUAAGUACCAACUUAUAAGUUAAGCCUUGUUUAAAAAUAGAUUUAACAGUUAGACUAACAAAGGUAUCAACUUGAAAAAGAAAAUAGUUUAAGUACCACUUAUAACAAAAAAAAAUUAUGUACCAAUAUAAGAAAAUUUAGGUACUAAUAUAGGGGGAAAAAGGGUAUAAUUUAACUAUCAAUUUGUGAGUUAAACCUAAAAAUUAUGUUGAAAUUUGUGAAAAGUAAUAAAGUAAUAAAGUAAUAAGUUUGGCAAUGGAGGUUGAGUUAGGUUCACUGGGAAGCAAGACAUAAUAAAUAUUGGUAUAAUGUUAAAUUUAGUCUUUAAUAUUUAUAUUUUUUGUUAAUUUAGCCUUUAUUUUUUUUUAAGCUAAAUUUGACCCACAACAUUUUAAAAAGAGUCUAAUUAUUAUUUUUUAACAAAAAUACUGGUUAAAACAUUCAAUUUUAAAACAUUGCAACUUGCAUAACAAUCCACAUGUAUCUAUAUUGACGUGGCAUAUAAGACAAAUAGUGACAUGUCAACAUAAAGUAUACGUGGACUACCACGUGUCUUGGCAUGUCAACAUCGCUAAAAAAUUAGUUUUUUUACUUAACAAUUCUGUUUUUUUCAAAAAAAAAAAAAGAAGAAGAGCAAUUUGACUAUUUUUGAAAGAUUCAUGGUCAACUUUAGUUCAAAAAAAAAGAAUAAAAGUCAAAUUGACCAUAGAUGGAAACGUUAAGAGCUCAAUUUGACAUUAUCCCAUAAAUAUUUCUUUGCAUGAGAGAAAAAAAAAAUCAGAUUUUAUUUUAAAACAAAUAUCUACAUGAAUUACAUGAUAGAGGUAUAUUAAAUAUGGGAUGAGUUGUAUUUAAUUAAAAAGAUAUCUUACCUGUUAUAUUGGUUACAAUAAAAUUUUAAUCUAAAUUUCACUAAAAAUUCACUAGUUUAAUCUAUUAAUUUUCCCUUUUGGAAAAAUAAGAAUAUUAACAGUGGGACUUAGUCCAUAGACUUGGUUAAGUUGACCUGCUUCUAAACUUUAUGUUUUGUUCAUACAGGAAUAUUAAGAUAAAUUGAUUUAUUUUCAAUAAAAGUUUAAGUAGUCUUCGUUUUCAACAUUUUGCUUUGCUUAGUCAAAUUCCGCGUUUUCCAUUUUCUUUUCCUUCUCUUUUUUCUCCUUUAGCUUUUAAGACCUAAAAAGUCUUAAAGAAUGUGGGAGUGGGGCUUUCUUCAUCGAAUUUUGUUUGACUCAACUUUAUAACAUUUUAUGGAAAAUUAAAUUUCCAACAGGCUAUUAUCAAUUUAACGCAUUUUGUUGGAAGAAACUUCCUUGCGCUUCAUGUAUUUUUGUGUUUUAGCUAAAGCUUACUCUAUAUAUUUGGAGUUGUGAGCCAUGGCAAUAGCAACCAUGACUACUCCUCUUCCUAUCUCCUUAUUCCCUUUUCUUCUUCUCAUUUCCGCUCUCUGUUUUUCCAUUUGUCAUGCCAAUUCCAACCUACUUUGCAUUCAAAGUGAGAGAGAAGCACUUUUGAAAUUCAAGAAUCAUCUUAUUGAUCAUUCAAACAGGUUAUCUUCAUGGGUUGAAGGAGGGGAUUGCUGUAAAUGGAUUGGUGUCAUCUGCCAUAACUCAACAGGCUACGUCAACCAACUGCAUUUGGCUGCUCCUCUUUCACAGCCUGAUUUUGACGCACCACUAGCUGAAUGGGAAGCUUACGUGCGGUCAAAACUACGAGGCAAAAUAAAUCCUUCACUGCUGGAGUUAAAGCAUCUCAGUUCCCUGGACUUGAGCAAUAACGAUUUUAGCAGCAUACAUAUCCCGAAAAUUUUCAGUUUGCUGGAGAGUUUAACAUAUCUUAACCUCUCUGAUGCACUAUUUCAGGGAGCAAUUCCUCAUAACCUUGGGAAUCUCUCAAAGUUGCAGUAUCUUGAUCUUGGAGGUAAUGAUCUCAAAUCAAAAAGUCUUCAAUGGGUUUCUGGACUUUCUUCUUUGCAGUACCUUGAUUUGAGCUAUGCGGAUCUUCAUAAAGCAACUGAUUGGGUAGAGGUAACAUUCAAACUUCCUUCUUUGUUAGAGUUGCACUUGUCAGAAUGUGGUUUAGACAAUGAUCCAUCUCCGACCAGUCUUAAUUCUACAAAAUCACUGGUUGUUCUUGAUCUUUCUUGGAACCGCUUUUCUUCAGUACCUAAGUCGAUAUUUAGUCUUCAUGGUCUUGUGUCCAUUGAUCUUAGUCACAAUUCUUUGGAAGGCUCAAUUCCAGAUUACUUUGGGAACAUCUCGUUUCUUGAAGUUCUUGAUCUUAGUGGGAAUCAUCUCAAUUCAUCCAUACCCAAUUCCUUGUAUAGUUUAAACCGUCUUCAGUUCCUUUGUCUUAAUGAUACCCAGUUACAAGGAACAAUCUCGAGUGCCAUUGGAAACUUGAGCUCUGUUACUCACCUUUAUCUUUCAGAAAAUCAAUUAAAUGGUCAAAUUCCAUUGUCUAUAGGGGAGUUAUCAUCUCUGAAGUUGUUUGAUGUUUCAAAAAAUCAGUUAAACGGCCAAAUUCCCUUGUCUAUAGGGCAGUUAUCAUCUUUGGAGUUUUUUUAUGUUUCAGAAAAUCAAUUAAAUGGUCAAAUUCCGUUGUCUAUAAGGGAGUUAUCAUCUUUGAAGUUGUUUGAUGUUUCAGAAAAUCAAUUAAAUGGUACUUUUCCUCUAUCUUUUGGACGACUAGAAAGUUUGGAAACUUUGGAUUGUGGGUAUAAUCUAUUACAAGGAGUAGUAUCAGAAACCCAUUUUUCUGAUCUCACGAGAUUGACAACUCUAGCAGCAUCACAAAAUCGGCUUAGAUUUGAACCAAACUCAAGCUGGAUUCCCCCAUUUCAAUGUGAAAGGAUCGAAUUGGGUCACUGGCAUCUUGGCCCAAAGUUUCCCCAGUGGCUAAAAUUCCAAAAGAAAUUGUCUUAUUUGGAUAUCUCCUAUGCAGGAAUUUCAGAUGUCAUGCCAACUUGGUUUUUGAACCUUCCCACUCAAUUUGAAUAUUUAAAUCUUUCCUCUAAUCAACUUACAGGAGAGAUUUCAUAUUUGAAUGUGACAGACAUUGUUGACUUGAGAUCAAACCGAUUCAUAGGUCCAUUGGCAAGAGUAUUCUCAACUUUAACAAUUUUAUAUAUGUCAAAUAAUUCAUUUUCAGGAUCUCUUUCUCAAUUAAUUUGUGAUCCAUCAAGUGGGAAACUUAUGGGAGUUCUUUACAUUGAUAAAAAUCUUAUCUCAGGAGAUAUUCCAGAUUGUUGGAAUCAUUGGCAGCGUUUGGACAUUCUAAAUUUGGGAAGCAACAAUUUAACCGGAAAAAUCCCACCUUCUUUAGGGCAUAUAAAUCUUUCAAUGCUAAUCCUUCGAAACAAUACAAUGUUUGGAGAAUUGCCAUCCACAUUGCAAAAUUCUACAAAUUUGAUUAUGUUUGAUCUUAGUGAAAAUCAUUUCAGUGGAAGUGUACCAGCAUAGAUUGGUGAUAAGCUCUCAAACCUUGUGAUUCUAAGCCUUCGAUCAAAUAACUUUGAUGGUCAUAUUCCUCAUAAAAUUUGUGAUCUUCAAUCUCUUCAAAACUUGGACCUUGCCUACAACAACAUUUCUGGAGUUAUUCCAAAAUGUUUUAAUAAUUUAAGUGCAAUGGCCACAACAAAGAAAAUCUUUAAUUCUGUUUUUUUGAAGUAUGCAGUUGAUGACUCUUUUUUUUUAAAGCAUUAUUGGUGUUGAAAGGACGAGAGGAUGAAUAUGGUAGCACACUAGGACUUGUUACCAGCAUGGACCUUUCAGCAAACAGUUUCACAGGAGAGAUCCUCAAAGAAAUUGGUAGUCUCGUUGGACUAUUGUCUUUAAAUUUUUCAGGGAAUCUCCUAAUAGGAAAUAUACCAGAAAGCAUUGGCAACAUGGAGUUAAUGGAAUCUCUUGAUUUGUCCAUGAAUCGACUAAAUGGUAAAAUCCCUCCAAGUUUCUCCAAUUUGAAUUUCUUGAAUCACUUCAAUGUGUCCUACAACAACUUGACAGGACAAAUCCCAACAAGCACUCAGCUUCAAAGCUUUGACAACUUGUCUUACGUGGGCAAUCAUCUUUGCGGACCUCCUCUCACAAAGAAUUGCACCUCAAAAGGUAUUCCAACUGACAUUGCAAAUAAUGGAAGUAGCAGUGAAGGAAGUAAGGUGAAUUCGCUUUAUGUCAGCAUAGCUCUUGGCUUUGUAAUGGGUUUUUGGGGUUUAGUGGCUCCCUUAUUUUUCAUCAAGUCUUGGAGGAUUGCAUAUUAUCGAAAGCUGGACCAUAUCUGUAGUAAAAUGUAUGUGUUUUGGGCUACUAUGGGUAUGUAGUUUGAUAGGAAAAAAGCAUAUAUAAUUGAUACAUCUGAUCUAGGUGUGCUGCUACAUGAUUGUUUGAUGCUAAAAGAUUAGUUUUUGUGUCUUUCCACUCGCUUGGUGUGCUAAUAAGGUGGCCCACUCGUUGGCAUGAACAGCUCUGUUAUAUGCAAACCACGUGGAAUGGGAUUUUGAUUUUUUUUUCCCUUACAUCUUUUUUGAAGAAUGUUGAAAUUAUGUAUUAUGUUGAUACGAAUGCAGAUUAUGGACGUUAGGUUUGGGUGUAUGGGGUGAGCCUGUUGGCUCGGGUUUAGUAGUCCGUCUCCCCUUUGUGUUCACUUUUGUUUCUUUAUUUUUUCAUGAAUGAAUUUCUUCUCUAAAAAAAUAGUAAUUUUAGACACGUAUAAAAGUAUAAGUGUGAACUACAUCCAAUGUCACUCUAAAAUAAAGUUUGUCCUAUUUUGGUCGCUCUAGCUAAAUUUUUUCUCAAUUUAGUCACUCUAAUUAAUGUUAUUAUUUGAACUAGUCAAUGUCGUACAAAAUUCUGUUAAUCCAUUAAUGGGUUGUUAUUGUGGCACAUUAGCCAAUUGAAUUAUGAUAAAUGGCAACAGGGGCGAUGUAAUACUCCAAAAAUUACUAUAGUAAGAUAUUAUCUUUGAUAUAAAAAAAUAAGGAAAUAAGUGAUAAAAAGGGAAGUAAACUAUGAUAUCUUGAUUCAGGAAAGGACUAAAUUGUAAAAGUGAGAAAAGUUUUGUUGUACAAGAGUAAAUACUUAAAACUUGAUGGGUUAAAGUGUGAAUAUGAAGAAGUUUAAGGACCAAUAGUGCAAAUAUUUUAAGGGUGGAAUGAUCUAGAAAUUAAGGAAAAUUGAUGAAUUAGGACCAAAUUGAAUAGGUGAAAAUUAUGAGGGACUAAAUCACAAUUUUACCAAAUUAAGUGAUGCCUCAAAGAUGGAAUUCUAAAAGAUCAUGAAGGGCAAAAUGAUCAAUUAGUAAGAAAGAGAAUUCUAGAAUGUAAUGAUUAUGUUGAUGAUAUUUUAAAUUAAUUAAUUAGAUAAAUAUUAUUUUAUUAAUAUUUUUAUGAGAUAUUUAUUAUUAUUUAUUAUUAUUUAUCUAGUAUAUAAGGAAGGAAAGAUGAAGAAUUAUCAUCAUCUUUCCUUUCCCAUGCAAACCAACGUGAGAGAAGAAGAAGAAAAGAAAGUUUUCUUUUUUUUACAAUUUGGUCCUUCUAUAAAAAAUUUACCAUUUUCACCUAGAAAUCAAAAGAAUUUCCAUAGCUACCAAGAGAGAAAAAUGUUAAUGAGACUAUGGGGAGUUAGAAUAUCAAAUUGGAUUCAAGGAAUAGAAGCUGGAGGAGAGAGAAAAUCAAAUUAAAGAUGGGAAUCAAUAGAACAAGAUAAGUACAUCAAGGUUUUAAUAUAUUUUUAAGUUUGAUAUUAUUGAAAAAGUAUGGGAUUAAUGUUAAUGUAGAGCUUCCUUACAUAUGGUCCUAUGUUCUUGAUAUGUUAGUGAAGAGAAAACAAGAGAAAGUGAUGAGAAAUAAUGUAGAGAAAGAAAAUAAGGGUGUUAUAAACAUGGUAAAUAAUAUUUAGCACUAAAAUAGUUUUGGACAACAGCAGUGGUCUAAAUUUGAAAAAUCACCAUAAAUUGUAGAAAUCGAAUUAGAAGAUGAACAAAAUAUGAAAUUAAAUUUUAUUGAGUCUAGUUUCUCAUAGAGGAAACAGUGCAAGCAAUGGAUUUGUAAAUCAUGAGAUAUAAUGAAUUUUAUGAGACAAGGUCAGAAUGAAUUCGGGUUCCCCUGUUUUGAAUUUAGAAAAUCAUAAAAAAUUAGAUAAAAAUAAUUAUAGUCUUAAAUUUAUAUUUUUAGAAUUCUGAAUGAGUCUUUUUCAAUAGAAACAAACAGAAAUAUCAUUCAAAUUCUGUACGAGGAGAUAAGUAAUUUUUAGUGAACAAGGGUCAGAAUUGUCAGACAGCAGAACGGGGGUAAAUUUAAAGAAUAAACUGUACUUAUUGGCUAAACCAAAAAUUCUGAAAAUUUUAUGGUAAGAAUAUAUAUGAGUCUAUUUUCAGGUAAAAUUAUCAGAUAUUAUUUUGGAGUUCUAUAGCUCUAGAUAUAAAUAAUUUAGUGACUAUGACACAGAUGGACAGCUUGAAUAUUCAUAAAAGUAAAUAAUAAAAAUUAUAGAUGAUGUUACUUACAAGUGUGUUAUAUACUUUAAGGAUGUGGAAUAGAGAGGAGGAGGAGGAAAAUAUAUAUGAAUAUUCAGCUAGCAUGGCUAAUUUGCAUGUUUUAGGCUCAAGGACUAAAUUGAAUAAAAGUAAAACUUUAGGGGGUAAUUUUGUAAAAAUGUAAAAAUGGCCAAAUUGAAGGGAAUGAAUUGUUUUAUUAUCUAAAUUAAUAAAUUGAAUAAAAUUAUUAAGUUAAGAUCGGGUGAAAAUUGAGAAAAUGAUAAAUUACCAAAAUGCCCCUAAAUCUUAGUAUUUCUGCAAUUUAGUCAGGUAGGUUCGUAUAACUUGAAUGAGCAUAUAAAUAUGUCAAUUUAAAUAUUAUAUUGUAUUUUAUAUGAUGUUUGAAUUGAAUAUAUGAAAUGUAUGGAUGUUGAAAUGAAAGAAAUAAUACAUGUUCUGAAACUAUUGAAAGGGAUAAAAUUUGUUUGAAUAUUGGGUUUCGGAUGGAUAUAGGUGAUUUCCCAAAUGCAAGAGUUCCUGCAUGUGUUGCAGAAAUAGAUAACCCAGACGGUUAAUCUGAAAAAAGCCUUCUCGAAAAUAUAAAGUGGAUAGGAUUCGUUCAUGAUUCACUAUAAUACCUCAAAGUGGUUAGGUUUUGUUCCUGAUUCACAAUGGUAAUAAAAAGUGAAUAGGAUUUAUUCCUGAUUCACUAUGGUAACUUAAGGUAGAUAGGAUUUGACCUGAAAAGGUAAUUCUGAUUCGCUACAGUUACAUGAUAUAUGAUUCAUUAGGGUAACCUAAGGUGGAUAGGAUUUGACCUGAAAAGGUAAUCCUGAUUCACUACAGUUACAUGAGAUGUGACUCGAGAGAGUGCUUGAUGAUUAAACGUCCUAAGAGUUAUUUCUGAAUAUGAAUUGAUGGAAUAUGGAAAUGUACGCUUUGAGUGUACUGUUGAAAAAUCCAUCGGAACUCCAAUGAUUCAACGGAUAGAAUAUUUGGUAUGAUACAAGAAUUAUAAUAUAAAAAGGAUGUUACAUGAAACAUGAAAAUGAAUGCUAAACGAUAUAAAUUAAUUGAAAUUAUUUUGAAAUUUUCGGAAAUGCCUCAUAUCCUAUACCGGUCUCGAGUACGGGUAUGGGGUGUUACAGGUGGUGCCAGGGGUUGGCAAUGGCCCCACCUCCCUAAAAUGAAUUUUUUUUUAUUUAGGUCUGUUUAUAGUUUAUAAUAUUUUAAAUUAGUAAUGGUAAAUUUGCACUUUGGUACUUCAAAAAAUGAUAAAAAUUUGAUUUAAUUGGUCAUAUAGGUCGAUUUUUAAAAUUUUAGGGAAAUAGGUUGUUUUUGGAAAGAGUGUGUGAAAGUGCGACCAGCUGGGCACGCUUUCUACACAGGUGGUAAGAAACCUCGCUUAGCUGACGAGCUUUCACAUGCUCUCUCCAAAAACGGUUUAUUUCUCUAAAUUAAAAAAAUGGCCUAUUUAGUCAAUUAACAAAUUUUUUUGGCAUAUAUGGCUAAUUUAGCCUACAAUUAAGUAUUUAAUUUAUUUUCACAUUAUAUAUUAUUAAAACAUGAUGUAAAAAGAUAAUUAUAAGAGAGAGAGAAUGAAAGGAUGAAUGAUAGAUUUAAAAAUUAAGUUCUACAUGUGUGUAUAUAUGUAUGUAUAUUAUCACUAUUUCAUAUAUAGAUAUGUAUAUGGCCACAAGAUAAUGAUUUAUACUAUAAUAACAUGUCUGAUUAAGUUUAGUGUCAUAAGUUAAGUAACACCACUCAAUUGGUAAAAGCACAGAAAAGUUAAAGUUAUUUUUUUUUAAUAUAGAGUUAAUUAUAUCAUUUCAAUGUUUUAUAAAAUAAAUUAAAUUUAUUUAAUUAGUUCUCUUAAACCAACUGCUUAAAAAAUUAUUUUUCUCAAUUAAAACUAUUUGCUAAGGCAAGUUGCGUGCUUCCGAGAUGAGUGACACUCAUACUUGUCAUAUUUAAGUUGACAAAUUUAUACAACAGAAUCUUUUGACUAGUUAUUAUGUUGAUGUUUUGAAAAUUCUAUAAUCAUUUGAUUGGAUUCAACUAAAUCAUGUAGAAAUGAAUAUCAUACAGAUAUACUAAAAUGAUGUUAAUAAAUAAAUUGAUAUACUAUAUAAUAUUAAAUUAAUUUUUUUAGUAAAAAAUUAUAGCGUAGGAACGUCGAGUAACGUAGAGCAAUAAUGAAUGUAAUCAAUAUUCAUAAAGCCAAUGUAAAACAACAUUAUUUUAUUUUAAAAUUUUUUAUCGCUGAUUUUAAAGGUUUUUGUUAAAAUACAUUUUUACUAUUAAUCAAAUAUUUUAUAGUGAUAAUUUAAGAUUAAAUGACAUUUUUUCAAUUAUUUUCAUUGAAAAUGUUGGACUUUUAUGUUGUUUUAGAUGGAAUUUUUUCUUAAUUAAAAAAAAAUCAAAUUGCAUCAUUUUAAAAUGUUAAUGUUUGUUUAGGAAAAAUAUUUUUUGGAAUUAUUGAAUGAAAAAAUAAUUUCAAAUUUGUCAAAUGAUUUUAUAAAUCUCAUGACAUGUUUUCACAAAGAAAAAUAAAUUUGAAUUUAUAUAGGAAGGAAAAGAAAAAGGAUAGAGCAAGAGGAUAUUCGAUUAUAAAAUUUAGGCUUAACUCAAAAAUAGAUAUCUAAAUUAAAAAAAAUUAACUUGGUAUUUAAAAUUUUGUUUUGUCACAAGUGAUAUCAAAAUUUUGCAAGUCAAUCGAUCAACCCCUAUCUCUAAACCAGUACCCCAAUCAAUUCUCAGUCUAACCGGUCAAUCCAGUCCAAUUUUGAAAACAUUGGAUUUGGUCAAUGAAAUAACUUUUUCGAUCUCGUCAAGUCGAACAAGCAAGCGGUGAAAUUCGAAAAUAUAAUCAAUUGUCAACAUCUCAACUUUGAGAGAGCGAAUUUCAAGUAUCGCUAGUAUUGUCAUAUAUUAUAAAAGAAGAAGAAAAAAUAAAAAGAAUGACAAAAAAAAAUAAAAAGAGAGAGAAAAUUAUAAAAGGAAAAAGGAAAAAAUUUAAAAAAAAUUUAAGUUAUAUGACAUGGCAGAUUAUUAUUAGCUGGAAUUUUUUUAAAUGGGUAUAACAUUUUGGUGUAAAAAAUAUUUAAGUACCAAAAUAAAUAAAAUGCAUAGUUUGUGUACCAACUUAUUAGCUAAGCCUUGUUUAAAAAUAUAUUUAUCAGUUAGACAAACACAGGUACCAACUUGGAAAAAAAAUGUAGUUUAAGUACCAAAAUAGGAAAAAAUGAUAUAAUUUAAGUAUCAAUUUGUGAAUUAAGUCUAAAAUUUAUAUUGAAAUUUGUGAAAAUUAAUAAAGUGAGUUUAGAUAGAGAAUGGAUGUUGAGUUAGGUUCAUUGGGAAGCAAGACAUAAUAAAUAUUGGUAUAAUAUCAAAAUUAACUUUUAAUAUUUAUAUUUUUGUCAAUUUAUCCCUUAUUCUUUUUUUGAGCUGAAUUUGACGUACAACAUUUUAAAAAGAGUCUAAUUAUUUUUUUUAACGGAAAUAUUGACUAAAGCAUUCAAGUUUUAAAACAUUCCACAUGUAUCUAUAUUAACGUGGCAUAUAAGACAAAUAGUGUCAUGUCAGCAUAAAGUAUAUGUAGACUGUCACACGUCCUAGCAUGCCAACAUUGCUAAAAUAUUAGUUUUUUUAGUCAACAAUUUUUUUUAAAGUAUUUUGGUUCUUUUUGAAAAAUUAACGGUCAAAUUUAACUCAAAAAAAGAAUAAAAAUCAAAUUGAUAAUAGAUGUAAACGUUAAGGGCUCAAUUUGACAUUAUGCCAUAAAUAUUUCUUUACAUGAGAGAAAAUUUUUCAGAUUUUAUUUUAAAACACAAAUAAUUUUACAACUUUUGGUAACUAAAACUUUCUUGAGAAAACUCUACAUGAAACAAUUUGUUGUUUCAAUUUACUAUCAGAACGGAAUGUUCCGAUCAGUACAUGGUACCAAAACAACAUCAAGUACUAUAGAUUGAAGUUCUAUAUUGACACUUUAUGAUUUAGUUUUUAAAUCCGAUAAUAAUAAUCCUCUCCCCUAACUAAAACAACCUUUUCAAAUAAUUAAAAAAUAAUUUUUAACCUCCCCUCGCGGAAAUAGAAUACAUUUUAUUGUCAAUCAUUUAUCUUUUCAGAAAGCAUCCACAGUUAGAAGAUUAAUCACUAUUACUGAUGAUGGAUACCGAAAAAAAUAAUUUUUAAUCCCGCUCACAAAAAUGGAACACAUUUUAUUGUCACUCAUUUAACUUUUUGGUAAGUAUCCACGGUUAGAAAAUUAACCACUGCUAUCAAUGAUGAAUACCCUGAUUACAACAAGAAAAAUAAUUUUUGAGAUUGAGAAAAACAUAUUUAGGUUGAAAUUUUAAAAGUAAUAUUUUAAUUUUUAAAAAAUAUUUCAUUCACAUAUAAAAAUUAGAAAAUUUCAAACCUUAGAGCUAAGCCAAAAUUCUCCAAUGUCUUAAGAACCUUAAGUAGUAAUCGAAAAAAAUAAGAACCUCGUGUUGAGAUAUUUAUGAAUAUUUAAAGAGUAGUGCCGGCCAAUUAACUUCCAAGUCAUUAAAAAGAAACUUCAGUCCUCCAUUCACAAUUAAACCCUUGUCUACAUUUUCAUCUAUAUCAGUGAGGGGCUUGCAUUGAUAAUAGUAAAAUUAUAUUUUGACCCUCUUAAAAAUAAUAAUAAUUUAAUUUAAUCUUUUAAAAAUUAUAAACAUAUAGACUAUUAAAAUAGUGAAUUAUACUUCUAUUAUCGUAAAAACAUAUAAUUUAAUUUCAACCUCCCAAAAUAAAAUUCUGACUCCGGUUCCUGGUACAUAUGAUUUAUAAAAAUAAAAUAAGACAGAAAAUUCAUGCUUUCACUGAACUAUUUUAUUAAAAAAAGAAGAAGCUAGUUUUAAAAUUCAGCACAAUUCUAUUUAAAGCCUUACGGUGUGCAACAAAGCACAAAACCGACUGUUUUUCCUUUAUUUUGAAGUGCCAAAACCCAAUUUUAUAGAUGGAAAAACAGAUGGUACUUGCAUUGGCAAUGAUAUUUUGCCUCGCCAUACCACCAGUCUAUGGCCAAUACUACUCCAAAACUAUUAAGGUAGGUGGUCGGGUGGAAAAGAAGACGCGACUCCGCUUCUUCUACCACGAUAUUCCCAGUGGCAAAAAUCCUACUACAGUCCUGUUAGCUCAGGCCAACAUCACCCAGGAUUUCUUUUCCCCAUCCCCAUACAGCAGCUUGUAUGCAAUGGAUGAUCCCCUCACUAUAGGGCCUGAACGAACAUCCACCACCAUCGGAAAUGCCCAAGGGCUCUACAUAGCAUUAAGUCGAGAUCCUAACAAGUUCACUGCAGUUUUAUACGCGGAUUUUGCUUUUACCACCGGCAGGUUCAAUGGAAGCUCCUUCAGUUUGUUCUCACGAUAUCCCCCCACUGAUUUUGUUCCUAGCCCCGACACAAUUUGUGAAAUGGCGAUAGUGGGAGGAAGAGGUGCGUUUAAGAUGGCCAAAGGGUUUGCCCUAUUACGGGCCACUUCUUCCAACGCCAAGACUGGAGAUGCUAGUCUCGAGGUCAAUGUUACCUUGUACCAUUACUAAACUCAAUUGCAGAAUAUUUAAUUUCAUAUUAAGAUCAAUAAGAGAGUAUAUUCCUAAUUCCCAAACCAAUUAGGAAUGCCACAAUAUUUGUUAAAAAAUGGGUAUCAUUUUGGUCAUGUGUUAUCCUUCACUUUACAGUGUAAUUUUUUUUUAUUUGAAUAAUAGUUGAUAUUCAUUAGAAAAUAUAAUGGGGGACAACCACUCUGCAACGGGACUAAAUCGUUUCCUCCAGUCAUAAAUGAGCACAUAGACCAACAAAACAACAAACCAAAACACAACAAAAAGUAAAUGAGAAAACAAAAGAAAUUAAAAGUAACCACCCAUCUAAUCUGUAGAGUGUAGAGACCCCGUCCCCAAACUGAAGCCUAACGAUGAAAACCAGAAGCUAAACCGUCUCCUGCAACCACAAACCCAUCAAAGAAUAUUCUCCAAAACUCAAAGAAUGCAUUCGCUGGAACCCAUUUCUGCCAAUCUUGGUUCGCUACAAGUUCAACCUCCCCAGGAGCUUCCUCAAUCCAAAAUCUAGGUUCCGAGGGCCAAAGCCGUCAUCUUGCUAAAAUAUUAGCCGUCAAUGACGAAUCUAGAAGGGCUGUCCCCUAAAAUAUAAAAUUAUUAUUUAAAUUUUUAAAUUUUAAAAAAAAAUUAAAUUAAUAAAAUUAAAAUUAUACUUUAAUCCCCUAAAAUUAUAAAAAUUUAAUUUAAUUCUUUAAAAAUUAUAAAAAUAUAAACUAUAAAAAUUUAAAAUUUCAUUCUAGCUUUAUCCCUAAAAGACUAUUCUAGCUUCACCCCUGUUAGCUAAGUUAUUUGCCAAUCUUCCGACAUAGGCAAAAGUAAUAUAAUCAAACCUUCUCACCUUCCUUUUGAAAUCUUAAAAAAUCGGGCCCAACACUAAAUUUGUUUGGAUUCGCAUUAUGUAACUUCUUUGUGAUAGUGUAGUUUUAAUUUUAUAUUUAAAAAUUAAUAUUUUAAGUUUAUGAGAAUAUGUUAUUCAAAUAUAAAUAAUAAAAUUUCUAACAUCAGACCUAAGCCAAAUUUCUCAGCAUUAAAUAAACCUGAACUAACUUGGUAACCAUAAGUUAAAUUAGUAUUUUUUUUUAGGUACUUAACUUACACCUUUAAAAUAUAUUGACGUAGCAUUCGAAUAACAUGAUAUCACAUAACGGCCUCACUUUUUACAAUAUGGCAAAACUAAGAAUAAAAAGUCGAAAUUUUAUUUAAAAUUUUUAUCACGUGUCAUCAUACUAUUAAUCAUAAAGUGCCACGUCAACUUUGUUUCAUUCUUAAUUUAAUUUUUAUAAUAAAAUCAUAUUAUUUUUACACAAGUAAAAGAAUAAAAUAAUUCGCUAGUAUGAAUAAAUUUCCUUUUUAUAUACAACACAACAUAAACAUGUUUAACAAAUAUAUAUAUAUAUAUAUAAAUAUUUUUUUAAAAAACAACUUAAACAUGUAAGUAAAUAUAUAUUUAAAAAACAACUUAAACAUGUUGAACUAAACAUAUAAUUACUUCCUAUUAAUGAAAUAUUAAAAAAUAUUGCCGUCCAAAUAUAUUAAACAUAUAUUAAAAUUAAACAUGUUGAACUAAACACCUAUUCAUCUGCAAUUGCGUGCAAUUUAAUUUGCUUUUUAUUUUUAUUCUGCAUAUUUCCUUAUUAUAAAUUAUUAUUAUAACAUUUAUGCAACUAACAUCAGCAUAGUAUGGGUUGAUGAUGUGAUAUAUUAACUCAUAUAUUAUUAAAACUUAUGGUUAGAAAUACAUUAUUUACAUGAGAGACCAAAUAAAUUAAAUGGAAAAUUAAAAUAUUUUUUAAAAUUAAAAGAUUAAAUAAAUUAUUAUAUUUAAUAAUAAAUAUAUUUACAUGAGAGAGAAUUAUCAAGAAAUAUUUUCAAAUUUUAUUUCAAAAUAUUUAUAGAGUAAAUUUGAGACUUUUUAAAUAUCCAAGGCUCAAUUAAUUAUGAACAUUUUGAGUAAAAAUCAUUUUCCUUCUAAAGUAUGUUAGCUUGAAAUGUUCAAAAGUACCCAUUUUGAGCCAUCUCCUCGUUUAUCUCAAUAAGCAUAUGCUUUACGAUAUUGAUAUUAUGCAUUAUAUAUAGAAUAUUCUAAACUAGUGUUUAAAGAUGUUUAUGAGUCCGAUUAGAUCAUAAAUAUGAUAUGAACAUAUUUGAUGCUUGCUGAAAUUUAAUUCUACUCGAAUUAUAUUUUUAAAAUUUUAUUCAAUCUAUCUAUAUUUAUAAAAAUCUAACCCAAACCCCUGCCCUUAUUUUUUUUAAUAUUGAUAGUAUUUUAUUUUAAUAUUUAAAAAAAUUUAUUUAUUAAAAUUUUUACAUAAUCUUACCAUUAUUUUAAUAUUCAUAUUAAAAUAAUAUAAUAUAUCUAAUAUAGAUUUAUUUUUUUAAUGUAUUCUAAAUUAUAUAAUAUAUGAAAAUAACAUAAUAAAAUAUUAUAAAUUUAAAAAAAUAUAUGAAAAUAACAUAAUAAAAUAUUAUAAAUUUAAAAAUAAAUCAGACUAGACUUAAACCUUAAAUGUUCAAACUCAAACUCAAACUCAACCUAUAUUUUAAAUCCAUCUAAAUCUUUUUUUUCAAGCUCAUUUUUCGUGUCUAAUAUUUAUACUCAAAUUUCAAACAGACCUUUAAAACUAAACGAAUUACCUGACCCUAAAUAAGUCUACAAACGUCUUCAAUUUGAAAUUUAAUUUUUAUACCUAAAAAACUAAAAUUUACUUUAUUGUUUUAAAAUUUCUAAAUCCAACUAUUAGCACCAUCAGCCCUCUACAUAAAAAAUUUCAGAUCAAAAUUUAUUGACGUGCUUAUAUAUAGGAUAAUAGGAUAUUGCCCAAGACAUCAUUAUAACAAAUGAACAUAAACCCAGACGAUACAUAGAUUUUAAAAUACAAGAUAUUGCCCAACAAUGUUUUCUCACAAAAGACAAUUCCCCUACUCUUGGCCAUAAAUAAGAAAAAAAGAAAAAAAGCAGUCUCGAUGUGCUCAUACAAAGCUUCAAUUAUCAUUAUUUCUAGAAUUGCAUUCUCAGGUACCUGAUUCUUCCCUGGAUAUGCAAUCGACAAGAAAGAAAAAACCACUUCGGGGUACAAUCGAAUUUAUGCCUACUCAUUGAAACAAACAUCUACGAUAAAAUUGUGGUGUCACUCAAUUGGAACAGCAUAGCUCUAAAAUAUUCAGUCGCGAGUUGCUCCUACUAGUGCAAUGUGCUCGAUUAGGUCAAGUACUCGGUUACUGUAAAGGAAUUUCAAGAAAAAACCAUCAGAUUAGAUAUUAUGUAUUUCAAAGGAGUCAGUGUCUCGGUCAAGUACUUGAUUAAGUACUUCACUGUGGUGUUUGCUUUUGUGUCUGGACGUGAAGCAGGGCAUGCACGCAGUGUGUGCCUGUGUGUGAGUGGAUGUGUCGCGAGCAAGAAAGGGAGUGAGAGAGCUUAAAACACACCUGUAACCCCAUUCAUUGUCAUACCAUGAAACAAGCUUCAUGAAAGAUUUACUUAACCCUAUUCCGGCUUUCGCAUCAAAAAUGCUUGACCUGGGAUGAAAGAACAAGUCCUUUAGAAACUUAAAUGCCAUCAAUCAAUAAAUUGGAGGGAGAAACAAAAAUUCAAAUGUAUAGUUCACUGAAUAGCCAAAUCUAAAUGAAGCAAACUUGGAUGCCAUAAAAAAUACAGCAAUAAUAGAAAAAACCAACUGGAAAUUACAGUAUACCAGCAAGUAUUACUUAAUCGUCAGGUUAAAGAUUCAAAACCAAAUGACCUAAUCUUGAAAAAUGGACAUUAUAGGUAGGACAGGGUCGACAAACACAUGAAGUAUACAACAGACCGCAUCACAGUGAAGGCAUGUCCAAUGGAUGUGUCAUUAAAGAUAGAGAGAGAGAGGAUACCGCGAAUCACCAACAAAAUCAUUAGAGACAACAUCUUCAUCUGUGUAUCCAAGAAUGCCUUUAAGUGGCCCCUCUGCAGCAUACCUUCAUUUGAAAAUUAAGGUAGAAUUACAGUGAAUGUUAAAUACACUCACGUAAUGAUAAGGAAAAAAAACAACCAAAAGUUCGAAAACUCACUUCAUGACUGCUUUGACAUCCUCAUAGGAGGCACUCUUCUGAAGUCGACAAGUUAAAUCCACAACAGAGACGUUGGGUGUAGGAACACGGAAUGCCAUUCCAGUAAGCUUUCCAUUAAGUUCAGGAAGAACUUUUCCAACAGCCUAUAAGGAAAGCAGAGAGAUCAUAAUUUAAUUUUAGUUACAACAAUAGUUACGAAAAUGAAAAACCGGGAUGGAAUAUAUUUGGCUAUUUCUCUCUAAUACCUUUGCAGCACCAGUUGAACUAGGGAUAAUAUUUUGGCCAGCUCCUCUACCUCCUCUCCAGUCCUUCAUUGAAGGGCCAUCAACAGUCUUCUGAGUUGCUGUAUGUUAAAAACUACCGCAUUAACAUAAAAUGCAAUAUCAUGUGCAGCAAAAAAGAAUUACAGGCAGAUAAUGACAGGAUACCUGUAGUUGCGUGGACAGUUGUCAUUAAACCCUCUACGAUACCGAAUUCCUCAUGGACCACCUGCGAUAUUUUAUAUCACAAAAACUGAGGAAAACUGCCAAAGAAGAAGGAAAGCAAACCAGAUGCUUCACAGGGAAAAUGGCCAGGUUAAAUUAAAUAAUGCUGUAAAAAUAGGCAGAUAAAAUUUUCAUCUGCUACAAACUCAAAACAUACAAAAGCAAAAUCUUUGAGAAGUGAAAGUCCUACAAAGAGACCAGUACACCUCAAUAAAAAACAAUGGAAGAACAGAUUUUAGUUUAAAUGCCCUUCUUGGUGAUGAGAUUGAUAUGCUUAAAAUCAGAAAAUGCAGUCAAACCUUGGCCAGUGGAGCUAGACAAUUGGUAGUGCAACUAGCAUUAGAAACUAUGUCCAUGCUCGGAUUGUAGGUAUUCUCAUUUACUCCCACCACAAACAUAGGUGCAUCUGCUGAAGGAGCUGAAAUUACAACUUUUUUGGCACCACCCUACAAAACACGUUCAUGGAAGUUCAUUUUGGAGAAUUCUCCGAAGUGCAUGCACUCACAGGUGUGCUUGUGCUAUGAGAUGACAGGAAAGUACGAUAACUAACCUUCAUAUGUGCUGAAGCCUUAGCUAAUGUGGUGAAAACACCAGAUGACUCAACAACAAACUCAGCCCCAUAAUCACCCCAAGGGAUCUCUGCAGGGUCCCUGGUGGAUAUUAUUUCUAUGUUAUCCCAAGCAAAGAUAGUUUAAUAGCAACUUUUAAUGAAAUCAAAUAACAGAAUUUUGUGUUGUAAUUUGCAAAUUUAAAGCCAUGGGAAUAAAAUAUCCCACUGAAGCUAUAUAGUUCAAAUUCCAAUCGAUAUUCAUGAAAACCUCUCCAGAACAAUACCUUUUGCUUACAACCUGUAUUUGCUUGCCGUUAAUUUCCAAUGUGGACUCAUCCACAACUCUGAUAGUUCCCUUAAAGGGUCCAUGAGUUGAAUCAUAUUUGAACAUAUAAGCCUGGACAAAAUUUAAAGUAAAAGAAAAAGAUACUUCAGAAUUGUUGACAAUUUUGAUAAAGCAGGGAAAAUUUUAAUAGUGACACAAGGCUAUAGACCAAAUCUAAAGAGCAAAUGGGCAGACUUACCAUGUACUUGGCAUCAAUAAAAGGAUCAUUGACAGCUACUACAUCAAUAUCAUCCCUUGAGGUUGCUAUUCGUAAAACCAACCUUCCAAUCCGACCAAAACCUGCAAAGGUUCAUUAUAAAAAAUGAGUUGAUGCAGGAUACAUAAAGCUACAUAAAGCAACACUGAAUUAAGGUAAAUCAACUUGGUUUAGCACUUUAGGACCUAAAACAAUGACAUUAACAGGAUUCUAAUUCUCUCACAUGUUAGCCCACAUGCUUACCGGGCCCAUCCAGCAAGAUCUAAAAAAUGUUUUUAGCUCCACCUACCUCAAAAUACAGAAUAGACAAACAACUGAACUAAAGGUCAAAAGCUAACUUAACACUAAUGACAGUGUAAGCAUCAAUCCAAGUUCUAUUUUAGCGCAUAUAGCUUCUGAAACUUUUCAAUCAUAUAAACUCUAAUAGUAUAUAUGAAGUAUGAACGGCAGUUCUUCACAACUUUUCCUCCCCCAGGAAAGGUUGGGUACCAAAUGGCACAUGCCUACGUUACCCUACCAACACCCCAAUGCACAGUAACCACAUGAGCUAAACAUGGGAUGCUAGUCAAUUUCUAUUUUGCAAGCAUACUCACAACGACUUAAAUACGCAAGAUAACUGGAUAGAAACAAUUUCUACGGAGAUUAAAGAAAUAACAUGGUAAAGAUACAUAUAACCAUCAAAUAAAGCAGAGAAAAACAUUAAAUCAAAUUAAGAAAACAUACCAUUGAUUCCAAUCUUUGUCUUGCCACUGCUCCGUGACUCUAAAAAAAUAGGAAACAAGCAAAAAGCAGAACAUCAAUGCAUACAACUUGUUAACUAAGUUAAAAGAAUUAGAUAAGCCUUUUUUCUGUCCUUGUCACCCUUCCCAAGCAUAAAAAAGAAGGUAACAAAUUCUUACUUGGAACUGUAGGAGGAAUUUCAGUAGCUGUAGCCUUGAUGGGCUGGAUGCUCCUUGAGUUGCAUUUCCUAAAUUUAAAAAAAGCCUUCAGUAUCAAAGGAAAAAAAAACAAAUAUUUGCACAAUAAAGAAAAGAAAAAUGAACAAUCAAUACGUGUAACUCAACUGUAAUGAAGAAGAUCUAGUUGAAACAGAGGCACCAAAAAAGGAGUUGAAAUUUCCACCAAAACCAAGGCUGGAAACCUGAACAAUAUAGCAUUUACAUUGAUAUUGUUAAUAAGUACAUUGAGAUCGCCAACUAACAAUAAAAUAGCAAUGAAAUAUAAACUAAAAAAUAAUUAAAAUUAAAAUUUUAAACAUAUAUUUUAUGUAAGUUUUUUAAAUUUCAUAAAUUCAUCAAAAUAACGAAAAACCGACUUAACACUUAACAGGUAAGGCUCACUCACCAAUCAAACAAUCGAAACGUAACUAAGUCAAUCUACACCCGAAAACUAAAUAAUAAAAAAAGGAUGAAAAAAGUAUUAUAAUCCUUAAGACUCCGUUUGGUUGCAGAGAAAACGUCCUAGAAAAACAAUAAUAAAGAAAAAAUAGAAUGAUUUGAUGUUGCACAAAUUUCAGUCGUUCAGCUGAAGUGUAAGCUCAGCUCAGCUCUAAAUAUUUGUUUGCUUUAAAAAGACGAAAAAGGAAAAAGAACAAUCGUUUUCACUUAUUUUUAAAAGCUAAAUACGGUGUUGAUCAGAGGAAAGUGAAGGCGACCUUGAGGCGAUCAGAGGGUGAGAGAUAUAGGCCAGACCGAUCGGAGGCGGCCUCGAUGAGAGAGGCGGAGGCGGCGGCGGUGGAUCUGAAGACAGAAGAAAAAGCCAUUGCUAAAAGCUUCAGAGACGAAUAAAAAAUGAAUAAAAACCCUAAAGGAUACUGUUUAAGGAAAAAAAGAAGAAGAGAAGCUUUUGGCUUUUGCUGUAGAGAGCAAAGCACGAGAACAAUUGUGAAAUAUAUAAUAUGGAAAAUAUGAAAAUGAAAUUGUUUAUGCUUUUCGAAGGCAAAUCAAAACAGUCACGACAAUUUUUAUAUUUAUAUUUGUUUUGAAUAAACUACCAAAAUACUCAUAUUUAUUUACCUCGGUUUACAUUUUAGCCAUUUAUAUUUAAAAUGUUACAUUUUAGUCACUUACGUUAUCAUGAUGUAAAAUUGUAAUCACUAAGCUGCUAACUACCGUUAACAGCGUAACGAUAAGCUCACAUGGCAUGUUAAAUCAUCAUUUCAAACGAAAAUUUUAAGUUAAAUUUUACAAUUGGUCCCUAUAUUUUUUUCAUUUUGAGCAAUUUAAUUUUUUUCUUUUAUAUUUUUUUAACUUUAUUUUUUUCUUAAUUUUUCAUUGACUUCUGUUUCUCUCUCUCUCUUUUCCUCCCUCACCAUUUCUUUUAACGUAGUUUUUUUUAUAUUUUCUAUUUGUUAAAACUAGUCCACAAACUUACCUUACUCGAAAAAUUAAAUUGUUUAAAAAAAUAAAAGUAUAGGAACUAGUUUUCUUCUAUUAAAUAAAUUUUUUUAUAUUAUAUUUUUGGCAUAAUUGUAAAAAAAGCCCUCAACCUUUGGGGGCUUUUGGAUAUAUGCCCCUAACCUUUUUGUUUUGAAAUCAGCCCUUAACGUAACGGAUUUUUCAGACAUCAACCCAGUUGAAACGAUAAACGUCAGCUGACCAUUAGUCAAUAGCCGGUCAAAAAUUUGGUCUACGUGGCGUUGCUGUUGACUGAUGACGUGGCUCACAUUAAAAUAAAUAAGCUGACGUGGCAAAAAAUUAAACAAAUUUAAUAAUCAUAAAACCAAAAAAACCUUAAAUCCCCAAACCCCCAAAACCGUUUUCCCAAAUCCUAAAAUCCCCAAAUCGUGAAAUUUCCUAAAUCCCUAACCUCCGAAAUCUUUCAUUGAAUCACUAACAGUCUUCAAGUCCCUAAAUCUUCAAAUACCUAAAUCGAUAGCAUUCCGAAAUCUUCUUGAAAUCCCUAAAAUUUUUACGAAUUAAAUCGUUGAGAACGAAAAAACAUAAACAAUCGUGAGAGUUUCCGCAACCCAAAAUCGAAAGGUAGGUGCUUUCUUAUUUGGUUUGUUGGGAAAAUAAAUUCCAUUUUUGGUUUGAUUAGUUGGUUAUUUGUGAUUUACUAUUGCAAUUUGAGUACAGAAAUGUAGGGUUUGUUUUGUCGAUUUUUGAUGCGAUGGUGGUCCUAAUGUUGUUGAUAAAACUGUUGUAAAAAUUGUAGAUGGUUAAUUGUGAUUUAUUAUUGCAAUUUCAGUGCUAGAAUGUGGGGUUUGUUUUGUCGAAUUGUGAUGAGACAGUGGUCCCGAUGAUGUUGAUUUCUGUUACCCAAGCAAAAGAAGUUAAAAUUGUAGACAUGUGUUACUGUUUUGUAUAGUAUUCAAAUAAGUGGUCCCGAUGUAGGUAGUGAGUUCUGUUUUAUUAUUUUUUAAUGUUUUCUGCUUAGAAAAAUGUUUUUUAUUCAAAGCAAAUUGCUUUUGCUCAGAAAAGAUGUUAAACUGGUAGACUUCUGUUACUGCUUUGUUUGUUUUUUAAAUGUUUUUUGCUUACAAUGUGUUACUAUUUUUUGUAGAUGUCAUAAGAUGAUGAAUAUUAUAUUAUUUUGCAUGUGGGUAGGCACUUUGUAAAGGAUCCAUAUGUUAGAUAUGUAGGUGGAGAAGUGAUUAGGCUUAAAGAAGACCCAGACACAAUAUCUUAUUUUGAAUUAUGUAAAAUAUUCAAAAUUGGGUUAAGGUUUAACACUGUCAUGUUAAUCUAUUUUUAUGAGCCUGGUAAAGUAGGGUUACAAAAUAAUCUAAGGGUGAUUUAUGAUGACACUUCAACCAUAGCUAUGUUAGACUUUUGGGUCAAGUUUAAGGAGAUUGAGCUAUAUGUUGAACAUGAGGUUGAUAACCCAAUAAUUGUAGAUGAAAUUUUUUUGUUGACUACUGGGGAGGGUGAUAUUGAAGGGGUGGAAGUUGAUAGGGAGGGUGAUGAUAAAGGGGUAGAAUCUGAUGAUGAAAGUGAUCUAGAAAAGGUAGAAUCUGGUGAGGAGGGUGAUGUAUGAGAGGUACAAGCUGAUGGGGAGGGUGUGCCUGCUACCGGUAUUGAGGUAGAUGAGGAUAUUGGUAUGGAAAGUGGUGGACAUAUUAGUUUAGGGUCUACUGUUGGAGAGGAUAAUGAUAGUGAAGUUGCUGGUAAUAAAUAUGCUAAUGAUUUUACAACAUCAGAUGGAGUGGAUAAUGUUGCUGAUGAAUAUGUUGGUGAUUUUGCAACAUCAGAUAGAGUGGAUAAUGUUACUAAUAAAUAUGCUGGUGACUUUGCAACAUCAGAUGGACUAGAUAAUGUUGCUGCUACACAUAGUGGAGAAGAGGAAGAUGGAAAUGAGACUGAGGUAUGGGACUCAGAUGAACAUGGAAGCUUGGUUGAGUCCGAUGAAGAUGAAGAACAUGAAGAUGGUGAGAGAAAGAGGAGCAAGUUUCCCUUAUACAAUGAUAAGUUAAAGAUUAGUCUGGGAAUGUUAUUUAAGGAUGGUAAACAGUUUAAAAGUGCAAUUCUAAAGUACUCCAAAGAAUGUAGAAGACAACUAAAGUUUAUUAAGAAUGAACCGAAAAGGGUUGUUGUGAGGUGCAUUGCUUCCCCUAACUGUCCAUGGAGAAUUAGGGCUAGCUACAGUCCUGUUGCAAAAUGCUUGCAAAUAAAGACGUUUCAAGAUGAGCACCAUUGUUCGGUUAGUUUUAAGAACAAAAUGGUGACUGCUGCUAUGAUUGCCCAACAUUUUGAAGCAACUAUCAAUGAUCAUCCUAAGAUAAAGCUGAGGGAAAUUCAAAGAAGAUGUGCUUCUGAGAUGCAUGUAAAUGUAACCAUUGACUGUUGUUAUAGAGCGAAUAAAAUAGUGAAUGAGAAAAUGGCUGGGAAUCAUAAGGAUGAAUUUGGUUUGCUAUGGGACUAUGCUCAUGAGUUAAGGUCAAAUAUGCUAGAAAGCACAAUAAAAAUGGCUGUUCAAAGGGUGACAGCAGACUCCCUUCCACAUUUUAAGAGGUAUUAUGUGUGCUUUGAUGCACUAAAGAGAAGCUGGAAAGCAGGGUGUAGGCCACUCAUUGGAUUAGAUGGUUGCUUCCUAAAAGGCCCAUUUAAGAGUGAAUUUCUCACAGCUGUUGGAAGAGAUGCAAACAACCAAAUGUUUCCUAUUGCAUGGGCUGUGGUUGAAGUGGAGUGCACUGAUUCAUGAGGUUGGUUUCUCAGUCUCCUAUCAACUGAUUUGGGCUUGGAAGAUGGGUAUGGGUACACAAUUAUCAGUGACCAACAAAAGGUUAGUAAAUAUGCAAUUUUAAGCUUGAUAUUGUUUUUUUUAAUCUGUUAUUUGUAUUUAACUAAUAUUUUCUAACAAUCUAUGUCGUUCAUUAAUUUGACUUAGGGCAUUGAGAUUGCAAUUUAUGACAUACUACCAAGGGUGGAGCAUAGGAAUUGUGCGAGGCACGUGUUUGCAAAUUGGUCAGGGAGGAAGUUAAAGAAAUCUUAUAAGUGUGAUUUCUGGCAAAUUGCAAAGUGCACGACUGAGAAGGAGUGGGAGGAUCUAUGUUCAGCACUAGAGAAGAAGGAUAAGGAUGUUUACGAUAAUUUGAUGAAAAAGUCUCCAAAUAUGUGGACUAGGGCAUUUUUGGGGACUACUUGUAAAUCAGAUAUAGUUGACAACAAUUUGUGUGAAGCAUUCAAUUCGAGUAUUAUCGAAGCUAGGUUCAAAAGCAUUAUCAGAAUGCUUGAGGAUAUUAGGACCAAGAUGAUGACUAGGAUAGUACAAAAAAUGAAGUUAUGUAAUGGAUGGAAGCAAAAUUAUGGUCCAUUGGUGAAAGCUAAGUUUGAUGCCAACAAGAAGGACUGUGUAGAGUGGCAACUGAUAUGGAAUGGUGAAAAUGGAUGUGAGUUGAGAAAAGGAAGUUACCAGUAUACAGUGGACCUAAGUCAAAGGAUAUGUAGUUGUAGAAGUUGGCAAAUAAGUGGGAUUCCAUGUUCCCAUGCAUGUGCUGCCAUGUAUCACCUAGGGCUUCAACCAGAUGAAUAUCUGGAUGAAUAUUAUCACAUUGAUACCUACAAGAAAGCUUACUCUUUUCCAAUGCAGCCCAUAAAUGGGCCACAUGAUUGGGAAAAAAUUGGUAUUCAGCCUGUGCUACCUCCUAUUGAAAGGAAUAUGCCUGGGAGGCCCAAAAAGAAUAGGAGGAUGGCCAAAGAUGAACCCAAAAAAUUAAAGCCUGGUCAUUUGAGUAGGAAAGGUCUACUCAUGACAUAUACUCAAUGUGGCCAACAUGGCCAUAACAAGCGGUCUUGCACAAAUUCGAAACAGGUACAGUGUUGUUCUUUAGUUAUAAAUAUUGAGUACAUUUUUUAUUUUAAAUUUUUUUUAUUUUGUUUAACCAAUGAUUAUGUUUAAUUUUUUGCAGCAAGAUGCCCAACCACCUAAACAAGAAGGGAAAUCUUCCAUUAAAAGGUCAACUACCUUAGAUAAAUCUAAGGGAAAUCUUCCAUUUUUGCAGUAAGUUUCUUCCUUUUACUAUUGAUAUGAGUUAUUUUAUACAAUGUUAAUAUUAAUAUAAAAUGUUCUUGUAGUCUAAUAGAACCACAAGGAGCAUGAUGACAGCUUCAUGCCAAGAUGGUACUGGACAAACUUCUUCAACAUCCAAGUCGCGAAAUAACAAGCCAAAGGCUCCUCUCGACCACCUGGGAACACAAGAAUCAGUUGUAGGAAACACGAGUAAAUCAUCGUUAUUUUGUUUUGAAUGACUUCUGUUGUUUGUCUUGUGAUUCACUAUAAUAACUUGCUUUUGAUAUUGUGUUGUAUAUGUUUUCUAUUUAACAGGACCAUCUCGUGAUAGCUUUUGAUCUAAAAAAUACUGUGUAAGGUAUUUUGCCUACAACAUUUUGGCUUUGGAACAGAAGAUGGUAGUUACAUUUUGAGCCUACAACAUUCUGGUUUUGGAAUUUCCCAUUGUUAAAUAUUAUUUUGUUGUAUUAAAAACCAAUAUGUUGGUUUUCAUUUUGGUUUAUGUAUAGCUCACUCACAUUUUGGUUUUUGGCUGGUAUAACGUUGAUGGUGUAUAGGGUGAAUGUUGUAUAGACUAAUCAUAUGCUUUUGUAAAGAACAUUUAUCGAAAUUGUAAAGUACAUUUAUCCAAAUGAUCAAAUUUAUCCUUUUAGUCUUAUGUUUAUUGUCACUACAUUAUUUAUUAAGCUAAAUUAAAUUAGGCAUAAACAACAAAUAUUGUUCAUUACUUCCAAGCAUAAUGUUAAAUUACAUAAAAAAACAACCAAUAUUUUUCAAUCAACAUUUGCAACUGCUAGUUGCAUAUGCCUCUUACCAAUACUGCCAAAAAAGAAACCUAUGGCGAUGUAUACAGUACAUAACAUAGAGCAAGAAAAUAACAUCUUAUACAUUGACUUCUCUUUCUUGAUAACUUUAAUUUUUUGCUUCAUGGUCAACACUUUCUUCCUUAAUGCUACUUCUCCUUCAACACCACAAAUUGAUCUACCUCCUUCAACCUCAAUGUCAACGGCACUACUGCCACCAUUAUGGUUACCAUCAAAUGCAACCAAAUCCAUAUCAUUCUUUCUAAGUGCUAAAUUAUCCUUCAAAAGAUUUCGUUCACUAUCACGCAAUUGACGCAGUAACUCAGUCGCACAGUUACACAUUUUCCCAUCGUACCACUUGAAGAAAUCACAACCACCGUCCUACAAACAAAUCCCAAUUCAGCCAAAUUGAAAUAAUCCAAAAUGAAAACAAAACAAAUACUGAGAUUUAUGAAAUCAUCAAAAUUGAGCUCAAGCUCAAUUUGCAAAUAAAAAUUCUUUACUUACCCGAAAAUCUGAACAACCAUAAAACCUCCUCCCCGGAUUUAAAUCGCUUCAUGAAGUGUCUCUUGGAGCUAACUUAUUGCAGUGACAUUUUAUUGCUGGUCCAUCGUAGGCAUACUCCUUCCACAAUAAAGUAACAACAUUUGCAUAUAAGGAUUUUUUCUUCAAACCAUGCGUUACCCAACCUUUAGGCUGACUUUUCGAACUAUGUGAAUCCAUGAUUUCAGACGACAAGGAAGAAAAAUAAAAAUCUCUGGAAAAAUUAAGGAUUUUACGAUUUGGUUCUAAGGGAUUUCACGAUUUCAUUCCUAAUAGUUUUAGGGAUUCAACGAUUUGAUUCGUAAAAAUUUUAGGGAUUUCAAGAAGAUUUCGGAAUGCUAUCGAUUUAGGUAUUUGAAGAUUUAGGGACUUGAAGAUUGUUAGGGAUUCAAUGAAAUAUUUCGGAGGUUAGGGAUUUAGGGAAUUUCACGAUUUGGGGAUUUUAGAAUUUGGGAAAAUGAUUUUGAGGGUUUGGGGAUUUAAGGUUUUUUUAAGUUUUAUGAUUAUUAAAUUUGUUUAAUUUUUUGCCACGUCAACUUAUUUUUUUUAAUGUGAGCUACGUCAUCGGUCAACAGCAACACCACGUAGACCAAAUUUUUUGACCGGCUGUUGACUAACGGUCAGCUGACGUUUACCGUUUCAACUGGGUUGAUGUCUGAAAAAUCCAUUACGUUAAGGGCUGAUUUCAAAAAAAAAAAGGUUAGGGGCAUAUAUCCAAAAGCCCCCAAAGGUUGAGGGCUUUUUUCACAAUUAUGCCUAUAUUUUUUGGUAUCUUAUUAAAGGUAAAAAGACCUCUUCAGUCCCUCUUAAUUUUAAAAUUGGGCAAAUCGGUCCCUCCCAAAAAUUGGAGCAAUUUACUCCUAUCAAUUUCAAAAGUGAGCAAUUAAGGACAAUUAAUCACGAUGUUAAUGCUUUCUGUCAAUUGCACAUAAUUUUGAUUGGUAUAGUAACAAAUUUAACUAUCAAAGUUUAAAAUCUUCUAUCAAUUUGGUAAUGAUUUAACAAAUUUAGGCUGUAACAUUAGUGUAAAUGUUGAGGCUAAAUUUGUUGAUUAUUUUAGAAUUUAGACCAAAUUGACAAAACAUGUAAACAUUAAGAGCUAAAUUUGUUGUUAUACUAAUUAAAAUUAUGUAUAAAGAUAUUAAUGCCGUGAUUAAUUAUCUUUGAUUGCUCACUUCUGAAAUUGGUAGAGAUUAAAUUGCUCCAAUUUAUUUAGAGGGAUAAAUUUGCUUAAUUUCAAAAUCGAGAGGAAUUGGAUAGAUGUUUUUACCCUUAUUAAAAUCUAUUUUUAGUGCAAUAUAGUGUUUUAAACCAAUUUAAUCAAGAAGAAAAGAGUCUGAUAUUUGUUAAGAUCAUGGGUUUAAAUCUUUUGAAUUUAUAUAAUUUCAUCCCUCAUUUAGGAAAUUCAACUAUAAGAAAUAAUAAGAUAUUGGCUAAAUGUUGAAAUUGGGACUAAACAUUUAAAGAGUUGUUCACAUCAUUUCAUUCAAAAUAGUUUAAGGGUUAAAUUAUUACAAAAAUACUUAAAUAAGGGUUUUUAUGCAUUUCGUCUAAAUUUUAGCACAAAAUUAUAUGAAUGAACUUGAUUUACGAUGUUUGAGAAUCCUUUAAACACUCCUGAAAAAGUUUAAACUUCAUUUAACAUUUAUUUGAUCAUUUUAAAAUAUUUAAUUCAAAUUUUAUGAUUUGUUAUAACAUUCAAAUAAUUUUUUAAAAAUAAGUGAUCAAAAUAUAAACUCAAUAAUAAUUUAGUUGGCUUAGGUAUAAUUUAUCGUUUCAUUAAAAAGCGUACAUACACUGUAUUAAUGAUUUGUAUUAUAUAAAUUUAAUUAUUACAAUAAAGUCUUUCAAAAUUACAUAAAUUUAAAAAAUAUAUAUAUGAAGUAAUUUUUUAAGACGGUUUGUAAAAUAAAAAAUAUAUAUUAUCAAUGUACUAAAUAUUAAUCUUAAAUUUUAAAGGUAAUUAUUUAUCGUAAGUAAAGUUUUUUAGAUUUUAUAAGUAAAUUAAGGAUGUAACAAGUGUCACAUUUAUUUAUAUAAUUUUUUUUAAAUAUAUCUUGUAACAUUAAAUUUUGCUUUUAAACUUUAAUAAUACAUUAAUUAUUUAUGUUAUACUUUAAUAUCCUAUUGUUUGGUGUUUGUACGGUGAUCAGUAGGAGUAUUUAAAAUGGAAAAAAAAAUAUUAAAAGAGCAAAGCUUCUUAAGGAACCUGAAAAGCCACAAUCCAAAUAGCAGCUCUUUCUCUCGCCCUUCUGACAGAUUUGACUCUUUCUUUAAUUAUCUUAAAAAAGAAAAAGAAAAAGAAGGGAAUUCACUACUAAUUUCUAGCGUGUGCGUGUAUCACGUGACUUUUACGUGAACACGUGAGUCUCAAAGACAAAUCUUAACCGUACAAAUUAUUUGGGGGCUUUCAAUGAAAAUUACAAAAUAAGGUAGCUUGUAAAAAAAUAAUUUAUUUGUACUAAAUUACAAAAUCUAUAUACUAUUAGAAUAAUUAAUAAACUAUUUAUUAUUCUAAUGAGCACUAUUAUCGAAUUAGUCAAAUUAUUAAUUUUUAAUUUGAUCAAUUUAAUUAAAUAUAUUAUUAAAAAAUUAUUCAAUCAAUAUGCAGAUUAAUCAGUAACUAAUUCUUAAUUUGAUUAGAUAACUUAGUCCUAAAAAUAGUGGUUGAGUCGAAUAUAGUAUGUCCUUAAAUAUCCAAAUUCAAGUUAUACUAUGUGUAAUAGCUAUAAUGAUAAGUUUAGCUCUUAAUGUUUACAAUUUUUUGUCAAUUUGAUCCUUAUUUUUUUAGUUAAAAUUGACCAUUAAAUUUUCAAAGAAAGUCGAAUAAUUUUUUUAAAGGAGAUGUCACCGUAUAUACUCUGUGCUAACAUGACAAUAUGAUCUUAUUGUCACAUCAAUAAAUAAUUUUAAAAUUUUAAAAAAUAGCAUGAAGUGCACAUGAAUGUCAUGUUUAAAAAUUUUAACUUUUUAUUUAGUAUAAGCAGUUCGACUAUUUUUAAAAGGUUGAUAAUUAAAUUCGAUUUUUUUCAAAAAUGUUAAUAACACCAACAAGUGGUUAGAACUUAGAAAGAGUUAAAGUGAAAUUUUUUCCCAAACAUUUGAAUUAAGUUCGAAUCAAGUGAUUCUUGUUAAGAGAACUUUACUUUGAAUAUCACUUUGACUCGAACAAGACUAAUCUCAUACUCUAAAACACAUUAAAACAUUGAAAGAUAUAAAGAUAAAAAAUUAAAUUCUUAUUUUUUUAUUUAUUUAUAACAACUAAAUUAUUAAAUAAAUCCAUUUUUUUCAAAAUUAUGGAAAUAAAUCAAUUUUUAUUAUUUAUAACAACAUCUGGUGGAUGCGUUUUAACAAAAACGAUUCAUUUUGGUCAUUUUUAAAAAAUUGGCCUAUUGACGAAAUUUUGAAAGAAAAGGGCUUUGUUUGAUAAUUUAAUCAUUUAUAAGUAACGAGACAGGUUGAGGAGAGAUGAAGUCGGGUCGGAUCCGGGGUUGCAUGGAAGAGGUGGCAAUGGCGAGGUAUUGUUCCCAAGAAGCAGUAAUUGAUGAAGACAAGUGGGGAACUGUGUGAAUCACGUAGGUGACGUUGUCGCGUAGCGGAGAGCAACAAACUAAACUAGGCGGAGUUCUCGAAAAUGCCGAGGGAGGUGGACCGAUGUGACCCCCCGACUCUCGGCUUUUUUCUCUUUUUAGAUUUCACCGGUCCUACACCGUCCCCUCCUCAUUGGCCUUUUGCCCUUUUUAUAUUAUUUUUGUUAUUUUAUUCAUUUUUAAAAGGUUAACGUUCAAUACUAAUCAAAAUAGGUUAAAUUGCUAUAUGUCCCUGUAUUUUUCUUACAUUUAAAAUUUAAUCUUUUAAUUUUUUGAAUUAAAAAAUAUAAGUUCGGUUUUUAACUCAGUUAAAAAUUUUCUAUUAAAUUCUGAUUUAUUAUAAUAUUAUUUAUUUUGUUACAAGGGUUUUAAGUUUUUUCGUUGGUUCAAAAUGUAACACUGAUGAAUUUAAUAGCAAAAUUUCUUUUGGAUGAUUACAAUAUUGGGAAAGAGAGAACGGAAAGAUGGGAUUUUAACUCGUGUCAUCUAUGUGUCGAGCAUGAGCUUUAUCCAGUACUCCAAACUAGUCUUUGGCAACAAAAAGAUAAUAAGCGUAUUAACAAAUCGACUUAAAUUUUGAAACUUGAAAAGUUAAGGGAUUGAACUUUUAAAAAUAAAAAUAGAAUGAUUAAAUUUCAAAUAUACGAAGAAUAAUGAGACCUAGAGCAUAUUUUAACCAUCAAAAUAUUUAUGCUAUAUAAAAGGUUAAAAUAUGCCUAUAAUCCCCGAACUUUUCAAAAAAUAGUAAUUUAGUCUUUGUACUUGUAUUUCUAGACAUUUAGUUUAUUUACUUUACAGAUUUCAAAAUUUAAAUCAAAUUAUUAAUAAUAUUAUUAUUAUUAAAUUCAAAUUAAUUACAAAUAUUUUUUUUCAAUUAUAUAACUAUCAAAUCAGAAGUUAUUUAUUUUAAAAUAUCACAACAAUACGUUGAAUAAAAAAUUAAUAAUAUAAAACAACAAACAAUAUUAACAUAUAAAAAAUUUAAAAUCAAUAUAUAAUGUAGUGGUGGGUAGGUGAGGUUAGAUUGCCCUACUUCAUCUUUGCUUGUACCUACCCCUGCCAAUCAACCUUUGAAGUUUCACCAAAUGAAGGGUGAGUGCUUUCUUACAAAAUCAAUACAAACCUAACUAUAAAAUAAUAAUAAAUUGAUCUCCUUAUAAAAAUAUAUAUAUAUAAACCCCUCUUCCCUUUUAUAAUUUAAGUAUAAUCCUACUUUAGUCUAGAUGAUAUUCAAAUAAAACUCUCUAAUAUUAUUGACUUCAAAAUUCAAAUUUUGUUAAAAUUUAAAAAUUAAUUCAUCUGUUUCAAUAUGUUAUAAUUUGGUAUUUAUAUUUUAUGAAAAUUGAAAAGUAAGUGUAGUUAUAACAAUGAUGCUUGACCAGUUUAAAAUGAAUUUUUUUUUAUUUAAGUUUAUUUAUAAUUUAUAAAAUUUUAAAUUAAUAAUAAUAAAAUUACACUUUACUCUAAAAAUGACAAAGUAAUUUAUUUAAUCCUUUCAAAAUUAUAAAAAUAUAAACUAUUAAAAUAAUAAAAUUAUAUUUUUAUUAUCAUAAAAAUAUAAAAUUUAAUUAAAAAAAAGUUCUAACUUCACCCUAAUCUUGAUCAGCUAGUAGGCCAAUCCUAUGUAAGUUUUGUGUGGGCUUUAUAAUGUUUUAAUUGGAUUUUUUGAACGAAGUAAAUUAGAUAUAUAUGAAUUUUGUAAUUAUCAAUUAAUAUAAUUGUACUUACAAAAAAAUGAUUAAUGUUGUUAUCGGGAAAUAUAAUUAUCAUUUUUUACUACUUUUUAUAUAUAAAUUGCUGAAUUAUUAAUUCUCGAGCUAAUGCUUUAACGACGAUUUUAAUAAUAUUAUAAAAAUAAAUUAAUUUAUUAAUUUUUGUAAAAUAUGAUAAUUAAAAUUUGAGAAAUUAACUUAUCAAUUUUCGAGAGAUAAAAUUCAUCAAUUGCAUAUUUAAUUUUAUAUGUUUUAUUGUUUUAAGUAAUCAAUUUUUAAAAUAAUUAAUAUUUUAUAUAUAAUUACAAACUAAGAUAACAUUUAUAUUGUAAGUUAAAUAAAUUCAAUUCUUCAAAAAUUAUACUUGGAUUGGUUCUCAGCUUCUCAAUCUUGAAUUUUCUAAGACACUUUUCACUACCUUUUUCGUCACGUGACUGGGUAUCGUAUAUUUAGGAAAGGUCCAUCGCCCAUGGGCUUUUCACGUGCUCUGUAGCUUUCUGAUAAAAUCUUAAAUUACCCUUUCACUUUACUCUUUUUCGCAGAAGAGUCUCCCUCCCUAACAUUACAUUUGUAGCGAUUGAGAAAAAGAAAACUGAGAGAAUUGAAAAUAGAAUGAACUAAUUUUGAAUAUUAUUUGAAUGUAUUUGAUUUGAUUUAUGCAGAGUGAUGAUUAAUUUUUUUGUCAAACACCCAUUUGAUACGAGUUCAAACUAAGUUAUCCCGUCUUUACCUCAAUAUUGUAUAAAAAAUUAAUUUAUAAAAGGAUAUAAUUAUUAAAUUUGUUAUAAUAACCUACCUAUUGUGAAUUCACUUCAUGAUUCGCCAACCUCACAUGAUGCUUUGCGAGCUAAGGACAUAUAUGAGACCAAUACCUUGUCAAUCAAGACAUUUUUGGUAAGGCAAACUCAUACUGUAGGCACCGCACUCAUGACAAAGACAAAAUAUCAACCAUUUAUAUAUUGCAUUUAUCAAUUAUUUUGACGUGACAAUCUAUACCUAAUAAGAAUAAACGUUAAUAGGUCAAUUAAGCUUUAAGAAAUACGAAACUAACGAAGGAACGAUACAUGACACCUUGUGAGGAAUCGAGUAUGCUCUUUACAAGACCCUCCAAGACCAAUGAAUAAGGAUUUUUUCUCUCUAUCUUCUUCAUUCAUACCUUCACUUACAAAAGCCCUUCUUCCUCCCUCCAAUUCUAAUCACCUACGACUCUCUACCUAUGGAAUGAACCAUCAUGAACAUCGUAAUCUUAAUCUAGUAUCAACAAAAACUAAAUUUAAUAUCUUUUUUUUUAUAAAAAUACAUAGAACUAUCCAUGUCCAUCCCAACCUUUAAAUUAAAUGUAAAUUUUACAUAAUAUACAAUAAAUUUUUAUAUUGUUAUACCCCCACCCUAACAUGACACAUGGCAAGUUGUCGGAUAGCUUGCAAAUGGCCCUUCGUUAAGAGUGGUCUACAUAUAAAUCGUCGCAAAGAAUCAUCUGCAUCAACCAUUCAUAUGGGGCAGUCUGCAAGCGGCCCUCUAUUAAUCCCCAUUUAGUUAGCCUAGAAAUAGUCCACUUCACACCCUGUUGGGACCAUUAAGGCAUAACAACAUCAUACAACCCCAAUGAUGAGAAUAUCAGAGUAAAACCAUACAAUACACUCUAUAGUUACAAUUGACCUACAAUGACCCUAUUAUAUGGCCAACACAUAACAUUGUAAGAUACUGUAUUGUCAACUACAUGACAUUAUAGGACAAAUGAUAACCCCUUAUAUAAGCAUGAGUGCACGAGAAAUUAAUGAUCAACUCCUUCUACCUUGAAAACCCGACACAACAAUCCUAGCUUUCUUCUCCUUUUUUUACUCUUAACUCUCCGGUUAUGACCGAUAAACCAAUACUUCUUUUCACUAUUCUCACCUCAUUAUUGACCACUUAUAUCGACAAUUUUUUUAAUUUAAAAUAUUAAAAGUUUUAAAAAAUUUUAAAUUCAUGAAUUCAACCGUUUUAAAAUUGGAUUUAGAUGAGUUAAAUUAUUUUAGUAUUUAAUUUAAUUCCAGUUCAGUUUCAAAACCGAUAUCAACCAAACCGAGCGCGCUACUCUAACAUUUUCGUCCACUAAAUAUCAGCCACGUGGAAAGAACAACUUUUGACCCAACUCAAUACUCUCACUGUUCAACACGUGUCUUCCCUUUAGAUACCCCAGAUGCCUUGAUUAGUCAUUCCCCCUCUCAAAAUUUCAAAGUCUUUCUUUUCUUUUUUUCUUUAUUUUUUCACAUUAAAAGAAAAAAAAAAAACCCUCCCUCCUUUCUUCUUCUCUCUUUGUUUGUAAUUUUGGUUUCUUAGAAGAUUCAGCUGCAAAAAGAUAAAGAAUAAAUUACAGGUAAAUUAUAUAUAUUUUUGGGUUUUUCCCCCUUAAAAUUUAUGUUUCUGUUUUUGGGCUUAGUACUUUCUUGUUUGGUUGGUGGGAAAGUACCAAAUAGAAAAAGAAUUUUUUUUUCCCUCUAUUGGAUUUUUCUCUUUUGUUUUGCUUCGGGUUUGGGUUUGUGAUCUCUAAUCUUAACUUAAGCUAAAAAAUAAAAGAAAAAAAAUUGAGAACUUCAGUAAUUAGUAAUAUUCUGGAAAUUCCGUGUGUUUGUGUGUGUGUUAUUUUAUUCAGUUCUUAGUUAUUAUCAGGAAGCAAGCAGAGUAAUUAGGCUUAUUAUUUGGCUAAAAUGGGUCAUAAUUUUACUUAAAAUCAUGUCUUAUUUAGCAUUAAAAAAAGAAUUAAAGUAAUGGGUUUUUCUUGUUUGUUUAAUUUCUUUCCUUUUCUUUUUAUAAAUUAAAUUUGCAAUUGCUUGGUUUUAAUUAGGUUACUUCAUGCAUGUCCAUUGCAUGGGUUAUUUUAAGAGUUUGGAUGGAUAAUUUGUUGUUAAUUUAAUUUAAUUAUCAUUUAUGCCUGCAAUUUGGAAUAAACUAGUGAAUUUCAAGUAGUUGGUUACAUGAUUUAUUUUAAAUUUCAAUUUUAAUCAUUUCUGAAAAUGAUUUUUUUUACAUUGAAUUGAAAAUUGUAUCUUAAUUGCUGUUUUUCUUUGGUUUCUCAAAUUGAAAUUGCUUUUGAAUUUGGCAUUUUUGAUAUACUUGCAUACGCUCAAGCAUGAACCUUUGCAUUAUACAGAAUCAGAUGAGUAUCAUAUAUGAGUAAAUUCAUUUCUUAUAACUAUGUACACACAUAGAUAUAUAAUCGUAACUUUAUACCCAUACCCAUGUCCGAAUAUGUGUCAUAAAUCUGAGUAUUUUAGGAUCUAUUAACGUAAAGAUUUAUCUUUGGACUUUGGGAUGCUUACCUUUUGGUAUCAUUGGGAAGCAAUACUUCUUUGUCAUGGUGGGGAAACUGGAAAAGAGAUGCAAUUAUGGUGUUUUUCGCCAGAGUUGUAUGGUAUAGAAUCUUGAAAAUGGUGGUUUGAAGAAUAUAUAUGUUAGCAAUGUUACACUUAUAUGGUAUCUGCUUGAUGUGUACUUUGUUCUCUCGAUUUGUGACAGCGUGGGGUAUUUCAGGAUAAAACGAGGGCAAAGGGAUCUUUUGGGAAAUUACCAUGGACCGAUCUGAGCAAACUGAACAACAGCAGCAGCAGCAACAGUCUGUGAUGGGAGUUGUAGCCGGUACUGGACCAAUGGGUUAUUCUACUGGUCCCUAUCAAGCUGCUCCUGUGGCUGCUUCCGGCACUCCAGCAACGGCAGUCCCUUCACCAACUCAGCCUCCGGCUACUUUCUCUGGUUCUCCGCACCAACUUGCCUACCAACAAGCUCAACAAUUUCACCACCAACAGCAACAGCAACAACACCAACAGCUUCAAAUGUUUUGGGCCAACCAAAUGCAAGAAAUUGAGCAUGCAUCGGACUUCAAGAACCACAGUCUCCCGCUCGCACGGAUCAAAAAGAUAAUGAAAGCAGACGAAGAUGUGCGAAUGAUAUCGGCGGAAGCUCCUGUUAUUUUCGCGAAAGCUUGUGAAAUCUUUGUCUUGGAACUGACCUUACGAUCUUGGAUCCAUACAGAAGAGAACAAAAGGAGGACGCUACAAAAGAACGACAUCGCAGCUGCCAUUUCACGGACAGAUGUCUUUGAUUUCUUAGUUGAUAUUAUCCCGAGGGACGAGUUAAAAGAAGAGGGACUCGGGGUCACCAAGGCCACCAUUCCUUUCGUUGGUUCGCCUACUGAUAUGCCAUACUAUUAUGUCCCACAACAUCCGGUGAGGCAUGCAGGGAUGACAAUGGGAAAGCCGGUUGAUCAAGCUGCAUUGUAUCCCGGCCAACAGCCUCGACCGCCUGUGGCUUUCGUUCCAUGGCCCCAUGGUCAGCCACAGCCACCGCAGCCGCAGCAAUCUGAACAGCAGCAAAGUGAUUCUUGAUUGAGAAGGGAUGAGCUCCAAGACAUGGUAAUGUUGACACUUCUAAUGGUUGGAAAUUGAAUUUAGCACUGGUUUGUUUGUAGUUAGGUUGACGUUGUAGGUUUAUGGAGGAUCUGGACUCCGAGUUUAGGCUUUUUAUGAAUGAUAGGAGAUCUCGAAGUAGCUAUGUUUAUGUUUUUAAUGGAGGAGCGAUUAGUCGGAAAAGCUUCAUUCCGAGCUAAUCGCGGAUUCUACAACUAAAGCUGAAUACAUUUCUCUGUUAAAUUCAAAUAUGUUUAUUGUUCGUAUUAAAUAUUAGUAUCUAAAUUCGAAUUAAAUAACAUUACGGGUUAGAUACUUGAAUUUGUUGUAGAAGUAAUACUGACUUGGAUAAUAGAAAAUCAAAGGUUAAUAUCUUCAUUUGCAAGCAAAUUGAAAAUGUAUAUCAUACUCCUAAUACAUAAGUUUCUGUAAUUUUAUUUUUAAUAAUUCAGUCCCUUUACUUUUUAUCUUAAACCUCAACCCCAUCCCAACUCCUUUUCAUCUUAGGUCCAGUGGGCCCUUCUUCCCCUAAAACUUCCUUUGGCAAGCUUUUCAUAAAUUUCUCAAUUCCAGGCAACAAUUUCCCCACUUUCUUAAUCUCAUCACCCAAAUCAUAGCUCACCUUUGGCCCCCAUUCCCUGCAAUAAUUCAACCAUGGUGGUUCAACAACACUGUUCCCCAAAUACUCCCCGGCAACUAACUCAAAUCCUACCCCGGUAUCCAUUAAAAUCUUGCUCUUAGCAGUAUCGUUAUGGAUCCCAAUUGUUCCUUUUCCUUGCAAAACCAGCCCCGGUUUCGAAUACAUAGCAUGCCCGUGCAAUGAUGAAUACGUGCACGGCUUGUUUCCGCCAUUGAAUUCCAGCUCUGACACGGUCACCCAUGAGCCUCCACGGUGAGCUGAGAAAUACACACUUUGUAAUUCGCCGGUGAAGUUGCUGAUUCUCAAAGUUAGGUGUUCCCAAUCGCCAACAUGUUCUCCGAUCUUUCCUAACGGUAUGUUGAUGAAUACCGCUUUGGCUUUGGCUCCGCCGUUGAAAGGGUAAAAAACCCAUAUUUGAAUAUCUGUAUAUGUUGCACCCAACAUGGGUUUUAUGUGUAAAUAAACUUGGGUUUCCUUUAAAUCUCCUUUUUUCACUUUCUCUUUUGAUGGUUUGUCGAUGGGGAGAUCUAGCCAAUAGUAUCCAUCGUUUGAACCACCUAGGGGAAGGUUCGAACCGGUUGGUUAGAUCAGGACUGGAUUUGACUCAUCCCCUUUUGUGUAUAGUAAUCCGCCAUUGAUGAAAAACCAGUUGACUGAUGAUGGAAGAUAGGUUUCCUUAGGGUGGAAGUAAAUCAAUGGCGAAUAAGCUUGAAACAAUGUUUCAAUUUGUUGUAUGUUAGGCAUUGAAGAAAGAUAAUUAGGUUUCUUGUUUCUCAAGCAAGCUAAAGCGGUAUGUGAAAGGGAUGGAUUAUUAGGAUUUUGAGCUAUAAAUGAGCCUACACAGACACCCAUUUGUUGAGGUCCUCGAUUCAUCGGCAUUAUAGUGAAAUAGUUAAGCUCAUUUGCAUUGCUUUCCUUCCCAAGUCCCCAAAUCCAUGUUUGAUUCUCAAUUUCGUCGGUGAAAUCAGAUCGAGCACAACGGAUUUUAUCAAUAGGUGGCUUGUGUUCAGUGUUGGUAACAAUGUGACCUAAUGCAUGAUAUCCUUCAGGAGCAAUUGGUAACCAAAUGUACCCAUUGGUGUCUUGCUUGAUACCUAACGAUUCACUGGUCCAGAUUAGGUUGUAAUCAACUGGUCGUAUUAGCAAAUCUUGAUUGUCGGUGUCAUCUUUUGCAACAAGAACCGACCCUGAAAGCAACCGGUUGUUCGACUGCCCAUAGCUAGCUAGCAUGUGAAAUCCAUUUGGUAUCAAUGACGGUUCGAAAAAAGUAGCACCGAGAUCAUCUGGUCCGCCUUGGUAGGUCACCCACACUUUUGUAAAAGUCGAUAUUUGACAUACUUGUAGUCCACCAAGAUCAAUAAUUCCCUUUGCAAACCCUUCACCUACAAAUUUAAAUAGCAAUUACCAUGCAAUGCUACAGUUAUAUAAGAAUACGCAACUCGUGAUUUAAAUCUUCGGGUUAGUAACGUUGUUGUUGAAGAUGAAAAUAGAGAGGUACCUGGUGGCCAUGUUGGUAAUGGAGAUGGAAGCUUGAAGACUGUUUCGAUUGGCAAAGCUUUCUUUCUUUUGCGGUGAAGAGUAAGACAAUUCCCCAUACUUACCAUGUUUAAUAUCAAAAGGUCACAUACAUACAUAUAUAUAUAUAUAAAGGUAUUUAUAUAUACAUAUAAUUAAGUAUAUUGAUGAUCUAUGGGAAAAAAUUAAAAACUAUAGGAAUAUAUGAUAACACUUAGGGAUAGGGCAGCCAAUGCAUGUGACGUGCAAGGAACCCUAUUUGUAAUUGACAAGCUUUUAGAUGUUGUUCAACCUCUCUUCUACGCCAACUUCCCCACUUUUUGUUUGGGUAAAUUAUAUUAGUAAUCACCCCACUAUGGUUUUUUCUUUUUUUUUUAGGUCACUCAAUUAAGAAAAGUCACAAAACGGUCACUUGACGAUUAAUAAAUUUUUUUUUAUCACUCAACUAUCUAAGACUUUUGUGUGUUUCCAUUUCUAUGUUAGCUAGCUGGUGAUCAAAAGAAUAAAUUGAAUAGACAAAUGACUAUUUUGUAACUUUUCAUAAUUAGGUGACCAAAAAAAAAAUCAUAGAUGGGUGACCUCUACUGUAAUUUACCCUUUUUGUUUUUCGGGAUAAAUAUCAAAACUAUAUAUGAACUUCUUUUCAAUGUCCAAUUUGAUCAUAAACUUUGAUUUGGAGCAAUUAUACACAUGAAAUUCUGAUUAUGAUUAAAUAAUAUACACGAAACUUUGAUUUUAGUUCAAUUGUACACAUUUAAGCUACAUUUGGUAGGAGUAUUAUUUAUUCAUCGUGUUUGAGUAUAUGAGUAGCAGUAAACUAAUUUCAAUUGGUAAUUUUUAGUCAUUUCACGUGACUUGUUUUGGGAAAAGAGAAUGUUUUUUUUUAUACUUAUUUUGAAGAAGUCUUACUUCUUCUAAGAGUUUUUCCUCAUCUUUCUAGUUUCAAGCUUAAGUUUGUACUAAUUAUUCUUUAUAUUAUGUCUAACUAUAUAUUGUAAUACAUAUGUAAUAAAUAAGUUUUUUCCUUGUGUUAUUAUUACACUAGUAACCAAACGAGGCAUUGAAGAAAUAAAUUCUUCAAUUUAUUUUAUAUUUGAUAAAUAUAAUAAUUUGUCUAUGCAAUAUGUAAAUGUAAAAUGCUGCUAAAUUGGUAAUUGUGUUAGUAAUUUGUGAAAAUUGAAUCAAAUCAGAAAGUUAUAUAUUAAAUUUCACAAAAUCAAAAUAUAUGUAUAACAUUGCACGUUUGACCAAAGUUCAUGUGUAAUUUUGGGAUUUAUCCCUUUUUUUUUCUUUGAAUUUAAAUUUAGUUUGUAAUGCGACUGACUAAACCACAAGUGAAGUGAUAAAAGGAUUUAAUGCAAGUUUUCAGUAAACACCAAUCUAGGAUUAGGGUGAGUUCAGUUCGGUUUGAUCAGAUUUUUUAAAACCAUCCAUUAUAAUUUGGUUUAUUUGAUAAAGUUUCAAUUGUUUUUCAUGUUUCUAAAAAUAAGCAAUAACUCAUAUAUUGUAUUUUCUGAAAAAUAUUUUUAUAUACAAUUUUUAAGUUAUUAUUAUUUUAAAUAUAAAAUAUUUAUUUUUACAUUAUAAAAAUAAUUUAAUUAUAAAUUCAAUAAAAAAGAAGAAUUUGAUUCAAUUUGUUUUAUUAACAGUCUAAAAACUCUAAUUUGAGCCUAUUUUUAAUUUUUCGAUUUUUUUUCCCAACCCUAACUUAAGAUUGAAUUCCUAGAUAACCCCUCCCUUAUAAUUUUGUUCUUUUUCACUGCAAUUUUUAUUAAUUAAAUAUUUAUUUUAUUUUCGUGAAUAAUGUUUGACAUAAAUAAAAAAUAACAAACUAUUCUAAAAGUUGUUCUUUUUUACAAUUGUAAAUAUCACAAAAGUGAUUUUUGGGUGGAAUUAAAUUGAAUAUUUUUAUGAUAGUAAAAAUAUAAUUUAAUCAUUUUAAUUGUUUAUGUCUUUAUAAUUUUUAAAUGGUUAAAUCAUUUUUUUAAUCAUUUUUAGGGUCUAAAUAUAAUUUUAUCAUUACUAAAUUAAAAUUUUAUAAAUUAUAAAAUGCUUAAAUUGAAAAUUUACCAUUUUAAGAAGAGCCAUGCCACCAACUACAUAUAACAAUUAUUAAGUAAAUAAUUACAAUAAACUUAAUUAACAAAAUGUAAAAUGGGUGUUUAAAUUCUUGAUUUUGAUUGCUUUGGUAGGUUUUGCUUGUAUUUGAAAGUUUAGCUCAAACCUUAUACCAAAAUAUACUUUCCUUUUUCUUGUUUAACCCAAAUAGAAAUGCAAAACUCACAAAAUAAAAUUAGGACAAAGUAUCAGAAUAGUUACUUUUGUUUACCUCAUAAUACAUUUUAGUCACUUAUUUUGAAAAUGUUAUGUUUUAUUCACUUACGUUUAGAGCUGAUCAUGGGCGGGCCGGGCGGCCCGGCCCGGCCAGAAGGCCCGCUCAAAAAAUGGGCUUGGGCAAAAAAAUGAGGCCCGUUUAGAAAACGGGCCGGGCCUCGGGUAAGAGUUUUUUGGCAGGGCCCGGCCCGGCCCGACCCGAAUUAUAUAUUAAUAUAUAUUUUUAUUUUUUAAAAUUAUUUUAAAUUUUUAAUAUAACUAUUUUUUAUUAUAUUGGUAAUUUGUGUAUUGUUUUAAGAAUUAUUUUAGUAUUAUUUUUAUUUGUUUUAAUAUUUGUUUUUAUGUUUUUAAAUAUAUUUGAUUUAUUAUAUUUUUUAAUUUUUUUAUUUAAUAAAAUAAGAAAAAAAUUAAUAUGGGCCGGGCCGGGCUCGGGCUUAGUAAUUUUAUUUUGGGCCGGACUUGGAAAAAAUUUUAGGCCCAUAUUUCGGGCCGGGCCGGGCCCUGGCCUAGUAGACGGGCCUAAAAUUUUGUCUUGGCUUGGCCCGGCCCAUGAUCACCUCUACUCACGUUAUUGCGUUGAAUAUUUUAGUCACUGGGUCAUUAAUUUCUGUUAACGGUGUAACGGUAAACUGACAUGGCACGUUAAAUCAUCAUUUCAAACAAAAAUUUUAGAUUUAUUUAUACAAUCGGUUUCCAUAUUUUUUUCGUUUUGCGUAAUUUAUUUUUUAUUUUAUUUUCUUUUAGCUUUCCUUUAUUUUUCAUUCUCUUCUACUUUUCCCUCUAUUUUCCUCCAUUCUCUAUUUCUUUUAAUGUUGUCUUUCUAUAUUUUUUAUUUGUUAAAACUAGUCCCUAUACUUUUAUAUUUUUGAACAAUUUAAUUUUUUCGAGUGAGGCGAGUUUGUGGACUAGUUCUAACAAAUGGAAAACAUAGAAAAACUACAUUAAAAUAAAUGGAGAAGGGAGGAAACCAUGGAGAAGCAGAAGAAAAUGGAAAAAAAAAAGAAAGUUAAAAGAACACAAAAGAAAAAAAAUUAAAUUGCUCAAAAUGAAAAAAUAUAGGGGCCAAUUGUAGAAUUUAACCUAAUUUUUUUUGUUUGAAAUGAUGAUUUAACGUGCCACGUCAGUUUACCGCUAUACUGUUAAUGAGAACUAACGGCUCAGUGACAAAAAUGUUACACUACGAUAAUGUAAGUGACUAAAACGUAACAUUUCAAACAUAAGUGACUAAAAUAUAACUUGAGGUAAAUAAAAGUGACUAUUUUAACAGUUUACCCCUAAAAUUAAUUUUCUUGAUUUAUAAGCAAAAUGUGGGCGAAAGGGACAAUUACCAAACAACAACUAAUGAAAAUUUUAUGCAUUCACGUUCAUGGAUAGCAUUUGGGCAAAUUUUCCUUUUAUCAUAAUUGAACCAAACUGUUUUUUGAAAAUUAUCUCACAAUUCAAUCAUGGACAUCUUUAUUCAAUACUUUGCAAGUGAUAGUUUGGAUUCGAUUAUUUGGGUUAUUAGGUGCGCUAUAAGAAAGAAGUAUUUUAUGGGGCUAUAGGGGAGACGUUGUUUUUAAAUAAUGGAUACACCGAAGUUUCUUUGUUAUUAGGGCUAGUUUUGCAAUGUUUUUGAAAAUUGUUUUUAAAAAGUGUUGUGGAAAAAUACUCUUGAGAAGUGCUUUUGAACAGUUUGGUUUAAAAAUUAAGUGUUUAGCAUUACUGUCAAAAGAUGCUUUUGAGAAAUAAAAUGUCCAUUUUAGACAUGUUUUUAUCAACUAACAAAUAUGCAUUUAAAUAAUAUUUAAAUUAGUUAAUAUUAUUAAAUUUUAGUAAGAAUAUAAAAAAAAUUAUUAUAUAACUUGUUGUUAAUAUUUUAAUAUAUGAAAUAUAAAUUUUAAAUAUUUUUAAGCAAUAAAUUUUAAUUAUUUAUAAAAUUUAAUUAGAAUAUAUAAACUAUAUUUUAAAUAUUUAAAUAUAACCAUUAAAUAUUUGUAAUUAGUAUUUAAAAAAUUGAAUUAAUUAAUGAUAACUAACGGCUCAGUGACAAAAAUAUUACAAUACGAUAACGUAAGUAACUAAAACGUAACAUUUCAAACAUAAAUGACUAAAAUAUAAUCUGAGUCAAAUAGAAGUGACUAUUUUAACAGUUUACCCCUAAAAUUAAUUUUCUUGAUUUAUAAGCAAAAUGUCAGCGAAAGGGACAAUUACCAAACAACAGCUAAUGAAAAGUUAUUACGUUGCUUUUUUAUAUAACAACAUAUAUAGGAUAUUUCAACAUCAUAUUUGAAAACCAUGCAUUCACGUUCAUGGAUAGCAUUUUGGCAAAAUUUUUCGGAUUGUCUUUGAAAAUCAUCUCACGAUUCAACCAUGGACAUCUUUAUUCAAUACUUCGCAAGUGAUAAUUUAGAUUCGAUUAUUUGGGUUAUUAAUUAGGUGCGCUAUCCAAGUAUAAUCUUUAUCCUAUCUAAGUAUAUAUCAAUAUUGCCAAUAGAGUCUUAGCUCAAUUGGCAUGAGUAUUGUUGCCAAUGUAGGAGGAUGAGGGUUUAAGUGCAUUGAAAAGUAUUAUCAUCUUAUUUAUGGGUUGAAGAAGAGCUAUAGGUAAUUUUAGGCAUUGUGUCAAAAAAAAAAAAACAAAUAUGAUCAGAACUUAUAAUGAGAUUGUUAAUAUAUAUUUAUAUAUAUAUUGAUAUUCAACUCAAAUGAGUUUACCCCUCUUAAAUCCAUACCACAGUUCGUAAAUAAUGUUUAAUAUAAAUAAAAAAAUAGAAUAUCGUCAAUUAUUUUUAAAAAAUGUUUUUGAUUAUCGACAUUUAGAAGUAAAAGAUCUAAAAUGAAUGGAAACAAUGGGUAUAUAUAACAAUUAUUAUGUACAUAAUUACAAUAAACAUAUUGGGAAAUACGUGUUUAAUUUGUUUACAAUAAACUUUCCGUCUAUAGAUGAUUGGAGUUACAUUAGAGCAAGUUUAUUUACUAUAAAUAGAAAAGACAAAACUCAAAAAUAUCUUAAAUUUAUUGUUUUAGAAGUAAAAUAUUACAUCCAAAAUUCUACUAAGUGACACAUAUAACAACAUAUAUAGGAUAAUGCAACAUCAAUAAUUGAUACUCAUUUUUCCUUUAUUGAGGUGCAUGGAUCAAAUUAGGAGGAAAGUGAUUGAAUGUUUGUGGGGGUUAAUUUAUUUCAUAAAGAAAUUUGAAAGAAAAAGAGAAUUUUCUUAAGAGGUGUGGUUGAAUUAUAAAUUUUGGAGGGGUCAAAAUUGAAUGUAUGAAAUUUGAAGGGUUUAAAGUGUACUCUUAAUAAUUGAAUUAAAACUUUGUAAUUUUUAAAGGGGUUAAAUUAAAAUUUAUCAAUUUUGAGGGUAAAAGUCUUUGCCUACCUCUUAACAUUGUCCCUAUUAAAACCUCAAAAAUUCUUGACCUUUUUUCUUUCAACAUUUAGCACUCUUAGACCUGUUCAUGGGCCGGGCCGCCCGACAUGUGGAGGGUUUGGGCAAAAAUAUAAGCUAGAGAAAUGGGCUUCGACAAAAAAAAUAAGGCCCGUUUAAAAAACAGCCAGGCCUCGGGUAAGGCAUUUUUCGCCCUGCCCGACCCAGUCUGAAUUCACUAAAUGACAAAAAAAAAUAUUCUUUUUUUUGUUUUUUAUUUUUUUGUUGUUUUCUCCCUAUUUUGCUAUCAUUUUACUAUUAUGUUGCUACUAUUUUGUUGUUAAUAUUUGAAUAUUAUAUAAAACUUAUUUUAUUGUUAAUUUUGUUAUUAUUUUAGAGGCAUUUGCUUGUUAAGUUGCAUCUAUCUUAGUGUUAUUUAAGUAUAUAUACUUUUAAAAAUUUAUUUUCAAUUUGUUGAGAAAAAUUUAUUUUGAUGUUUUUAGUAUUUUUGAUAUAUUAUAUAUUUUUUAAAAUAAUAUAAAAAUUAAUUUGGGUGGGUCGGGUAAAGCCCGAGUUUUAGUAUUUUUAUCCGGGUUGGACUUAGACAAAAUUUUAGAACCAUUUUUAAGGUCGGGUAGAGCUUGGGCCUCACAGACGGGCCUGAAAUUGUAGUUGAACUCGGCCUGACCCGCCACAUGCACACCUCUAAGCACUCUUCUCUCAAUUUCUCUUAUCAUUUCACUUACUCUCUAGAAUUUUUACUAGAUAGAUGAUUAGGGGUGGAAAAUUCUUAUUAAGCACCUGAAUAUUUGAAAAUUUUAAUAGACACCCUAAAACUUUAAGACAUUUUCUGUGUUGUAGAUAAUCAAUCUUUCUAAGACUUUUAAUUAAUCUCCAUCAUUUGGCAACACAUUUUUUUUUCGAGAUUUAUUGAUUAAUAUUGAAAAUUUAAAAUUAUGGCUUCAGUUGUGAUUGAUUAAGACUUUUAUGCAAGAUUAAAUUUUUUUAUUUAUUUAAUGGUUUUGGCAUAUUAAUUUUAUAUGGGGUUUAUAAAUUCUAAUGUCUUGGGUAAUAAUUGUUAGAUAUUAAUUAACACAAAUGUUUAAAGAAAUUAUGAUUGAUUGUCUUUCUAAUCUCAAAUUUCUUAAAUAUUAAUUAGAAACUUAAUAUUUCUGCUCAAAAAUUGUUGUUAUUACUUAUUAGUUUUCUCUUUCUUUUUUUUUUUUGUGUGUGCGCUUUUUAUAUAUUGUAUUCUUGUGACACCAAAAAAUAAUUUAAUGGAAGAAAUAUUUUAGUUAUUUUAAAAAAAAUUGUAAAAGUGUUUCAAUUUUUUAUAUUAAAGCAUAAUGCAACAUUCAAAAAUAAAUUACAAAAUAGUUGUUGCUUCUUCGUAAAAGUGCUAUGGAGGCCUCUACAUUAGGAGUUUAAUUAUAUUUUGCUCCCUUUACUAAAAAAUGGAUAAAUUAACUUCUGUGCAUUAGAUUAAAGUGCAAUUUAGUUAAUUUUGUUAAAAAUAAUUUCAUUUAUUUGUGUUGUUUAAAACUGGCUUAUCUGGCAAAAUAACUAAACAAUGAUAUAUGGUGUGUCACAUGUACGUCAUAUUGCCAUGCAUAGAUUAGUUUUUAAAAGUAGAAAUUGAUAAAAAAAAUUUUAACAAAAUAACUACUUUAAUCUAAUGUAUAAGAACUAAUUUACUUCUCUGACUUUUAUUACAAGGCCUCUAUGCUAAUUUUACCUUCCUAUUCUUAUCAUCCCAAAGUUGUCAUCCUACAAAAUGCUUUGCCUGACACCAAUUUGCUUCAACAUAGUACUUCUAUAUUAGUAUUUAUAUGAUACUUAGGAUAAAAUUUUUAUUAUUGGAAAUUUAAGCUAGACUAGCUGGACCUGAAUUAAGAAAAAAAAUAUACUUAAUAGGCUGGUCCCUCUAAUAUGUAUAAAAGCAUUGAUAGCCAAAACUAUAUGUGAUGCAGGUACAAAUAAAUUGUCUAAUUAAGACAUGAAAUAAAAUUUUAAAUAAUUAUACUUGCCACUGAAUUUUUUGUGAAUUUUGAAAUCUUUGAAGAAAAAAAAUGUAAAAUAAUUGUUUAUCAAUUCACAAUAAUCCAUCAAUCCUCUGAAUUAACAUGCAAAGGAUAGGAAAUUAUAUCUAUAAGAGAAUAAGGUUAUUAUGAUAUUCACUAUUAUCGACCCAUAAUUUGACUGGGUUCGGGUCGAGUUCUAUACAAUUAAUAUUUCAAGUUCGCGCAUGACACCACACAAUGUUGGGUUCACAUGCCAUCACAUAUGCAAACUCCCAUUCGUACAAACAUGUGUUAGACCUAAAGUAGGGUACAUGUAGACAUAUAUGAAACUUAUCUAUGACAUCACAUUUAUGAACAAUAACUAGAUCAUAUAAAUCCACACAAAAACACUCAAUAGAUGUAGUUUUUAUUCAAAUGAAAUAUAUAAUAUUAUCUUAUAUAAUGCUUUAUUUUUAUUUUUAUUUUCCAUUUUUCACUCUCAUACAAACCUAUCAACUAUUCUCAUUACUGCAGUUGAAAGUUCCUCGUAAACUCCCAUGUCAAACGUGACACUAUUUGGAAAGUUAAACCGUAAAGCCCCCACAUUCAUCUUACAAACAACUUCUCCUUCGAGCGCUUGUUUCACCAGAAGAUUCGUUUGAUCAUAUUCUUUCCCCUUCAAUCGGUUCGUCGCAACAGUCAGAUUGGUUUUUGCAUAGUAAAACUCUUUCCCGCAACCUCGAAGAGCCAAUUUCAAGUACUUGUCGCGAGCGCCCAAAGCAAGAGUCGUCAUGUUGUUUAUCAAGGUCGUGGCUUUGUUGCUUAGACAAGUUAUGAUGAUGGCUGCAAUGCCUACUUUAUCGGCAGAUUGACUUCGAGGAUCGGAUUUUAUGCAUUUUAUGCAGGUUUCGGGGACUUCAGCAUUGUGACAUUGGGUUUCAAUCAGGGCAUCGUCGGCGAAAACGAGGUUUCGCUGGUCGACAUUGUUGAAAAAGAUGAAAAGGAGGAGAAAAGGAGUAAGAUAGUAAGGAGGCAAGAG